ACGUACCGGUAAAUUAUCAUAAUCAGAAUUUGUCGACGAAUUUGAUAUUCUUUUACAAAAUAUACUUAUCUUAAUAUGUAUAACCGGAGUUUAUAUUACAUGCCCCUCUCCCAACGAUAGUUGUAGUACUCUUAUAAUAGUAGUACUCAUGAAUACAGUUAAUCCGGGUUGUUGGGAGAGAUCACAUGCAUAAAUACAACAUGAAACAAACGUGUGAAAAAGGUACAUAAAAUCGGUGUGACCCGUUCUUGUAUUAUAAGAAAUCAACUUGCUUAGGCCUUGCCGGACUCCUCACAACCCGGUGGCUUGAAGGCGAUGAAGCUGAUGCACUGCACUUGCCUGGUGUUGUCGAAGCCGAUGAUGCGGACAUAGGCGUCAGGGUACUCCUUCUUCACCUCCUCCAGCUCCUUUAGCACCUGCGUGGCGUCGGUGCACCCGAACAUGGGAAGCUUCCACAUUGUCCAGUACCUGCCGUCGUAGUACCCGGGAGAGUUGCCGUGCUCACGGAAGACGAAACCGACCUUGCUGAACUCGAGGCAAGGAACCCACUUGGAGCGGAUGAGAUACUCGAUCUGCUUCAAGAGGGACUCCACGGUGAGAGGCGGCAGGUAGGAAAGGGUUUCGAACUUCUUGAUGCCCUCAAUUGGCCACACCUACAAUUAGAUUAAUAAUUAGCACCGAAAGUAUAAUUUGAGACACAUAUCAGUAUUUCACUUCAACAUAUGUACAUGAUGACAUACAUACCUGCAUGCACCUGAUCCUUCCACCGUUGGAGACGCUGCCGAGACCAGCGCUGGCUGAGCGGCGGCCGAUGGGGAGCCCGGCGGUGGACUUGAGGCCCUGGAAAGGAGCAACGGCAGUAGCCGCUGACGACAUCACUGUGGGAGCCAUCGUACACGUACGUAGAUAGCUAACAAGAGGAGGCAGGCUUGCUUGAGUGCUCUCUAGCUACAGCGGCUUAUAUAACUGUAGGCUCCCCACCCAUCCAAUAUCAGCACAAGAUCUAGGAGGGGUGGCUGCAGUUCGCCGCGCGGAUUUGCCCAGGCCACGCUGGCAUCCUACGGAUCAGGUCGGGCGCCACAUGGCCGCACGAAAUGGCGCGCGUUAUCCUCUGGACGGAUACAAUUGGCUGCAACGCACUCUGCAAAUCAUGCCAUGAAGUGACCAAUUUUCACCUAUCAGGAUAGAUCCAAUGUGCCACGGCAUGCACUCAAAAACAGAACUUGCUAAUCCCUCCAAUCCAUAAAAAAUCUCGCCCACUUAUUAGAAAAUUUGUAAUGAGUUAAUGCAAAAUGAGCAGCACUUUUUAUGAACUAGAGGAACAACAAAUUAAGAGAAACUCUUCUAAGAUCUUAUCGAGAACGAAGCUUGCCCCCGCGUCGCUCAGUCUGGGGCGACACGGGCGGCAACCACACCAGCCCCGGCAGCAGCCUCUCCCCGUCCUCUCCUCCCCCUCGCCGCCGCCGGGCAAAGCCCGCACGGGGACGGCGGCGGCGGGGCUGUUUUUCUUGGCGGGGGUGUCCUAGAGCUCUUGGCUGAGGCGUUUGAGGUGCUGCCUCAUCGUGGUCGCGGCGUCUCCGGCCCGAUCCGGCAGGCUAUGCCUCGUCUUCGGCUAGAUCCGGCCGGCUUCCUCCCGGAUCCGGUGUUUCCCCUCGUUCUUCCUCUCCCUGGUGCUCGGUCUGCUCGUGGCUGCGCGGCUUCACGGCGGCGCUCUUCGGCCGGAUCUAGCUACUCGUUGGCCAGAUCCGUCAUCUCCUCCGGCUGAUCCGGCAUGUCCCAGGUCUCUUCGUUUCCAUCAUUUUUCCUCUCAGUUUGGUGAGGCGGCUGAUUGAACUUCACCGGCGGCAGAUGGGCUGCUGCUGCGGCCAUACAUGGUCCAAGUCGGUCCUUUUCGAUGCCAUGGUGGCGUGGUUUUCAUUUUCGGUCGCGUCUUCGGCUGCUGCCCGUGUGCGAGGUAUGGACGUCGGCUCCGGUGUUUGGAGUGUUGCUCUGGAUGAAAACUGCCCGUGUGCGAGGUAUGCCGAAGACAACGAUGUUGUAGCGCCGUUUUCCUUCUUGGAGGUGUCGUCGAAGAGCUUCACUUUCCCUCACUUUGAUGUUUGGUGUCUUCGGGUGAAAACCUAAGAUUUGGCUAUGGCCAGAUCGGGCGACAACGGCGUUUUUACGUCGAUUUCCUCCUUGGGGGCGUUGUCAUGGAGACAACGACUCUUGGUGGCAUCGGGUGGUGUGGUCCGUCUAUGGUGGAGCUUGUUGUCUCGAGUUGUUGAAGGUUUGGUGGUGUCUCUUCUUGUGUCAUGUGUUAGCUUAGGCUGUCGGUUUGUGUCCGGCGAGAACGUGCGUUUCUUAUCCUUUGGUGCGGUUUCGGCAUGUGAUGCCUUUCGUCUUCACUAUCGUCACGUAGGUGUCGUGUUGUAUUCUCGGUGGUGUGUGGUCUUUCGGCUUAGCCAACGGCAAGUGGAGGUAUGAUCUCGGUUGUGUAUUGCCCUUCGACUUCAUCGGCGGCACAUCGGCGUCGCGGUGGGUCUCAGUGACGCGCAGCCCUUCGACUCUGCCGGCUACGUAGGUGUCAUGGUGCGGCCUUGACCCUGUGCUUCCCUUCAGCUACGGCGACGACAUAGUGUCUGGGUGGGCUCGUCAGAUCGACGCCUUUCGACUACAUCAACUAUGCUCUUCAUUGUGCAUUUAUUUUGCCAUUGACAUGUUUCAAGAGUCUAGGUUUUUUCCUUGUGUUUCUUUUAGCAAAUGCUGUUCUGCAGGCUGGCUUUUGCCCACCCGAUCAGAAAAGAAAAACAAAUUAAAGGCUAAAAUCAAGCGAUGUUAUAUUCCCUUAGCUAUUACAAAUAUGGAUGAUAAGAGUUAUUUAUCCUUUUUCAACGAGUAACCCUUUACUUGGAAGUUCCAUGUGCAUGGCGCUGCAAGAAAACAAACAUCAUAAUGGGGCAAGACUUUUUUUUUUAUAAACAUCCAAUUUGGGUUAAAGUCUGAAAGAAUUUGGCUAUCUGAACUUUCAGUUUCCACAUUCUUUUACCUACUCAAUUCUUCAGCCAACAGGAUCAAUGGCGACCUACUAACACCAACCAGAACACAUGGGUCACAAACACGAAAAAGGGCUAGAAGGCUACUUAUACACACUCAUGUGUACUGCGAGCAAAAGAACAUAAUGUACAAAACUUUACAAAAUCUAGGGAAUUAAGACCUUCCCGUAUGCUGUUGCUGCCGCUGCUGCUUCAUGCUGGCUCUCCUGGCAACAUCCCAUGGUUUGUGAGGCACACCUACACCUUGCUGGGAUGCGAAGAACGACUCGUAUCCCGGGGAGUCGAAAGCAAAACCAGUGUGCUUGGAGUUCUCUCGAGGGAGCAUGGAGAUCGCAUAGCUUCUUGCUUCUUCUGGGCUCAAAUGGCUCCUCUCAGGCAGAUGUAUCAUGCUGUAUUCGUGGGGGUCAUCCUUGUGCAUCUCCUGGAUUACUUGGUAGUCAUAGGGAAAGAGCCAUCUUUGGAGCCUGAGAAAGCACACAGCAUCAAAGACAACAAUUGAUUCAGCUACUUCAGUAUGUACAAUGGAAGGAAUAACAAACGGAUGGCAUUAACAAACAUAUAAUUUUGCAAAAGAGCUGGUAUCUUACGAUAGAUACAGGAAAUCACCAAAGAGAGCGAUGACUGGAGCAAGCAUUAGUGUGAGGUAGAAGAAAAAGGUACUCAUCAGAACAUAAAUCACAAAAUAUACAUUUUCCUGCACAAGGUACACAGCAUUAAGUCAAUGCAUUUGUAGCAAGUAAUCGUCAUCAGCAGUGUAAUAGCUACAUUAUUCACCCACCUGUCGGUCAAAUGAUGUCAUUAUCGCAGAAUAUAUGAAGAUAAACAGAAACCAGGCCGCUAUACUGCCAGCUACGCUGAAAUAAUGCCAUCUCGUGAUAGAAUUGCACGACAUGAGGAGACGUAGAUUAACAGUCACCACAACACAAGUAAAGGCCAUCGUGCUAACAUCCCAUUGACCAAGAAUCUUGCCAGAUGAACCGUGACCAUGCUGACUUGCAGCUGCAGUAAAGUAAUAGAACACUAUUGACUGGUAGAAGGCAAAGAAACCCCACACCGCAAUCACUUUCCACCGGAAGAAUGUGUUCCUAAUUCCUUCUUGGUAAAGUUGUGGGUAUUUUUUUGAUAGAGAUGCACUCACAUCCUGAAAGGGUUCAGUUUAGUGAAUGUAGCAAGGAGCGUCACUCCAGAACAAGAAAAGUAGAACAAAUACAAGCAACCAUACCUUAUCAAACAACCCAACCAUAAUUACAGGUAGUGCCGUGAAAAUGACAUUAUACAGAGACUGGAACCAGUCAUCAUAAAAUCGCUGACCAGAAAAGCCAGUUUGGAAAGUGAACCAGAACUGAGUUAGUGUAAAAGUCAGAUUCUUGUAGAAGAAGUAUGUGAUAACCUGAAACAGAAAGUGUCAAUGUUAAAAAAAUUAAACUACACAGAUUGGCAGCUACAAGCUAAGGGACCAAAGCAUACCUUGCACAAUCUCAAGUAUGACCACCGCCCAUGUACAAGAAGUAAAUCCGUAAGAUAUCGAAACUGAGCAAUGGCAAAAUCACUCGCCAUAACAGCUUGCAUUCCUUCUUGUCCGCUGAUGCCAAUACCAACAUGAGCAGCUUGAAUCAUACUCACAUCAUUAGCACCAUCACCAAUACUGAGAGUUAUCUUACGUGCACCUUUCCUAACUAAACUUGCAACCUACAAAUGUGUCAACAUUACAUGUUUUGGCAUCAUUCGAACCCAACAGGUUAUUAGGAAAUAAAUCCAAAAAUAAGAGACUUUGAGAUUGCUGAUGGGAUGGGUAACAACCAAAUAAGCACAUAUACAAUAAGUUAAUUAAUACUACCUUUGUUUCAAAAUAUUAUACCAAAACGUCUUAUAUUUUGAAACAGAGAUAGUACUUAUAGUACAAGAGUGUACAGGACAUUUAGUUAAGAGGCCAAAACUAGAAUAGCAAAAGCAACCAAUGCACAGUGGUUAAUAAUGAUCUUGUGAAUCAUGCACAAACUAUUUUGUUGUCAAGGUACAAAAUUGGAUCCUUUAAAAUGUAAUAAUAUCAAUAUCCCCCGUUUAUUGCCCAAGCAUCCUGAAAGGCAUGCAGCUGAGAGCUGCAGACCAUACUGCUAAUUAUUUCAUGGGAAAAGGCAAGGCAUGCAUGAUAAGAACGCUAAAAGCGAGAAUUGAUAUUUACCUGUGCCUUUUGCAGUGGAGAAACUCGACAACAUACAACUGAUUGGCAAAUUAAACUCAAACCAAGAAGAUUCACACGCAGAGCUGGGUCUAGAGCGUACAUCAAGCAUCGUCCAUCAAUAAUGAAAGCCAACUUUCGUCCUGGCGUGCUCCUCAAAGAACGGUGGGCUUCCUCAAGGUAACUUCUCAGACUCUGUUUUACCGAGUCUUUGAUAACACGUGCAAUUUCCACAGGGUCUCCCUGAAAAUGACUGGAACAUUAUUCAUGGCAAAGAUAUGUGCAUAAGUUGAUUUACAUCAAUCAGAUACAAAUGCUAAAUUGCUAAUUAUGGUUGAUCAAACUGCAAAACACACGAGAUAUCCAAAAGGCUAUAUAAACAUGAUGGAGAGGCUAAAGCACUGAAACAACAGAAUCAACAUAAAGUAUUUUGUACUAUUAUGCAACUAAGCCUUUUGUCCCAAGCAAGUUGGGGCAGGCUAGAUAUGAAACCCAAACAGAAACUAAAGCAAAGUGCAGGUAACAAAAGAGCAAGAGAGUAAAUCAAGGUUCAGGCACAUGGACUGCUGAUUUCCAUGCAGCCCUAUCAAAAGCAAAAUCUCUAGAUACAUUCCAGUCCUUCAAGUCCCUUUAACUGCCUCCUACCAAAAGCAAAUAUCAUAGUAAUCCACCAACCAAAGUAACAAGGGAACUACUUGUAACUUCUUAGUUCACAAGUACAUACCAGUUGAGCUAUCCAAUUAUUCUAAAUAAUAUGGUUUGAUACCUUUACCAAAGUCUCAACUUGUAUUCAUUUUAAAGCUUAUACAAGAUAUUAUAUGUUAUGGCUUAACAGUCUCCAUGACACAAUAUGGCUUGACUUCACAGUUUAAUUCUAUAGGAUUAUCUUACCCUGUCUUCAGCAUCUCUAAUUGCAUCUGUCUCAGAAGUGAUGAUGAAUUGUUUUGUAUCGUUAUUCACCAGGCUGCACGCUGCAGAGCAAAAACUAAAUAACUUCAGAAGCUUUUCUAUGUCAGGUGAAAGAGAGAGAAAAAGACCGCCCGCCCCCCACCAAUAAUCCAAAACUGAGCUUCUAUUAGACCCCUUAAGAACGAAACAAGCAUGCAAAUUGAUCUAUAUAUAAUUAAAACCUCACCAUAUGCUAUAUUAAUUGCUGUUUCCAUUUUAUCUCCAGUUAGCACCCAAAUUUUUAUGCCAGCUGCAGAAAGAGUUUCAAUGCAGGCUGGAACCCCUUCUUGCAGUUUGUCUUCUAUUGCAGUGCACCCUAUCAAUAUAAGGUCCUUUUCAAUCAACUCAGCCACCUACAGGGGAAGAAACAGAAGGAAAUUAUAUGGCAAUGUCCCAGCAAUAUCUUAAAUCAGAAUAUACAUUAAGUCUAUUACUUCAAAUUCCUUUUUCCUAGAAAUCACAGUGAACUUAGUACAUGAAAGAAUGAAAGGAUAAUGCUUUUCUAAUGGGGAUUUGAAAAAACAUCAUAAAAAUAAUAAUAUAAAGUACUGUAUGUUCUUGUUCUAGAUAAAUUACAAAUAUCUUUUGCUCAUGAUCCUCUUUCCUGACUAAAAAAUAUAUAUUAUUAUGUAAAAUACUAAUGUUCUAUGGCAGUACAAGAUAAUAAAUUAGCACAAAAAACUAUUAAACUGCAAAUGUCAGCUGUUAGGGAUGGAUGACAUGACUCCUGUAGUUUUGGGGGGAGAGAGAGAGGAGACACACUGAACAAAUUACUUCCUUCGUCUCCAAAGAUUGCCAUGCCACAUUCUAUUCGGUCAGUCAACCUUUUACAACUUCAAAAUUAACAAUUAUAAGUGAAUUGAAUUACUACAUGAAAAAUAACAGCACUCAAUUUGCUUGCAUAAUAAUUUGUACGCAAAACUUUUGCUUGUAUAUUAGCAUAGAAAUCAUAGCCAGAGUUUUAUGUUGGGAGAAUAUAAAAUUAAAAAAUGGCCUACAUUUGUCAGGUACAUUCAGUUAAUUGUUUCCAAAACCAAAUUAAUUUUCAUACAUAAAUACCAAACGGAUCAAUAGCAUGCUCAACAGUGCACAUGAGACUCGAGUUCAGUACUGGAUGACAGAAAGUAAAAAAAAUCAGGCAAGCACUAGAAGGUGGAGGGGAAGUAAUCGAAAUUCAAAUCACAGGGACUGUUCAGCCUGUAUACUCAACAGAAGAGGAUGGUACACAUACCUCAUCAAGCUUCUUAUCACGAUCUCGUAAAGAAGAUUUAGCUUGAACAAACUUCUCAUUCCAGCUUUCGUACUGCUCCCUGCUUAGAUCUCGAUAAGCAAGGCAAAGCGUGCGCAAGCCAGCAGAGCCAAAUUGUUCUAGAUGUUCUCUGCUUGUCUUUUUAAUGUCAUGAUUUCCAUCAGCUAACCGUUCAAAAAUGACAUUAUCAGCGCCCUGUUACACAACAUUUGUAUAAGGUUAGUGCAUCAAUCUACAAAGUGAUAGCUACAUAAAGAUUCUUUUUUCUUGUAUUACCUUGCAAUACAGAACAAGUUUUCCAUUUGGGAAACGGCAAACCACAGAUUGGCGCUUUCUUGUACUGUGAGUGCAGUAAAGUGUGAAGUGCAGAACAAUGAUUUCAUCUUGUCAAAUUUAAAUUGAAAACAGAUAAACCAGACCUGUUGAAUUCCAAAACAUUCAGAAUUUCAUAUGCAACAUCUUGUAUACUCCCCAUCCUCUCAACAUGUGAUUCCCGAACCAAGACUGUGGUUGGCGUACGUCUACAAGACAGGCACAAAAUGUCAACCACCGGCAUUGCCAUUCACAAUAAAAAUGCCACAUGAAAUAAUUUGCAACAAAAAUCAUAAGAACUUAGAUGAGUUCAUGUUCACAGCACUUGCUUUAACACUUGUCUUAAUUUACAACGGCAAUUUUUUGUUGAUGGGCUAAUAGUUUAUUUAUGCUUCUUAGUAUGUACAUUCAGUCCUUCAUACAACAAACUAUAUAAGCAAUAACCUGGGUGAGUGACUCUUUUAUGCACAUUUUCCUUGGGACCAUAGCAUAGUUUUUUAAGAUACCUUGUUUGCAACAAACUGAUAAGAGGAAUCUAUAACUGUAUUUAAAGGCAAGGUAAGACAUGCCUAUAAAAGAAGAAACCAAAAUUCUUCGCAGCAGCGACAAGCGCGGCCUCGUCGGGAGAGGCAGCUUGAUAAGUAAUCUUUUCCGGUGUCUCCUCACCCUCAGGAAGAACUGUAUGACAGAUUGCAAGGCAUCUGCAGAAUUGCUAUAGAGCAAAUAACAAAGUUGUUACACAACUAGCACAUUAACAAGGGAAAAUGUGAAAAAGGAAAAUAGGUUCCAAAUUUUAUUAGUAAGGGCAUAUAUCGUGAUAUGUGAAUAAUUUGUGUCAACUAAAUCAAAACUGAUUAUGACCAAAGGGGAACCAAUCGAACUAUUCCACAGGUAGUCCCGUAUUUACCACGCAAGCAUCAGGAUUAGGUUCAUUUCUCCAUGCACCACGCAUUAUUCUAGCAUCAUCAAAGUUGAAUCCUUUCUCAUGAACUGCAGUGGCUGAUCUUUUACCCUAAAAAAGGCAAGUAAACUGGAUAUUAAAUCAGUUGUGCAUUAAAUUUUUCAUCAUAUACCACCACACUUCAAUAGCGUAAACAACAAAGAAAAUGUUGUAGACCUCAUCAUCAUCAAUCUUGACUCCGGCUCGCUCGGCUCCUCCUUUUUCAAUCUCUGUGAUGCCAGUUCCAUAUAUUUCCCCUCCAAUCGAACAUUUAAAGAAUUCCAUCAAGUUUCUUGUAAGUGUUCCAGUUUUGUCAGAAAAUAUAUACUCAACCUGAACCAUUAGUGGGGCAAAAAAAAUUUGGCAGAAAUGUCAAAUUAUUUGCAAGUGUUAAGUGCAUUUUAGUACCACUCGGCAUUUGUUCAGUCAUAUAAGCAUUUCUGGGGAUCUAGAACAGUUUUUCGGUGGGAGUAAGUCACUUAAUAUUAGUGAAAUGAGACUGUUCCCCAAGUGCUUAUAAUUGAUCCCACUUUCUGGAAUGAGUCGGUGCAGUGAGGUCAUUCUAUCCAUUAACCAAACCCAGCCAUAUAGGUCAAAUAAGUAAAUAACCCCAUUUCAGCAACAAACAAAGGGGCUUUCAUCAAACUAAACAGAAUGCUAAGGAACAAAAAAAAAACUGAUAUUACCUGCCCAAGCUCCUCAUUCAGAUUAGAAGUCCGAGCCAAAGCUGGGGUGUUGCUCUCGGCAUGAUACAUAUUCAGAUCAUUGUUAAUAAACUUUGCACACUGAAUGAAUUUGAUCAUCUGCCAGCCAAAAUAAACAUAAGGUCCAAUCCAAAUACAGGGUACACUAAAUGAUAAAUUGGUCAAUAUACCUCAAUGGAUACAUAAAGAGAAAUGGGGAUGAUCGUUGAGUAUAGAGUUAUUAGAGUAAACAUAGUUAAAAUGGUCACCUGCAAAAGUACAAACCUAUGAUAUAAGGCCACUUAGAGAAUAUUCUCUACAAUAAAUUAACUAAAAUAAUAUAUACCACAAAUCUGUUCUUGGGAUUAAACUGGUCCUCGACACGCCCACGCAAUCCAAGAUAGAAGUAUUUCUCAUUAAUAAACACGCCACUGUUCACAAAAGCCAAGUAUGAUGAGUCCAUUGGUAGAGUUUUAGGUUUCUAAAGAACGUGCAAGCUAAGCAGUCAUAGUUACCAAAAUCUAUAUGCUGAACAGAGCACUUCCAUUUCUGACCAUCUAGAAAGUGCCCUAUUAUGUACCUCCCACAUAAAACCACUAAGAAAAAAGAUAAGGCUAUUAAGACCUAGUCAUGUGCUCAUCUAUACUGCUCCUAUGCCACAAUAAAAAAAUAACUUCCCCAAACAAGCUCCUGACAACUCAUGUCAUAAUGUUUAAAGUUUAUCUCUCUAUUAACAGUUGUUUUUUCAUGAUCAAUUAAAUUGUGAAAAAUGAUUGUGCAAGCAUAAGCCUCCACAACAUCAACCUAACCGAUAUAACUCAUGUUCAGAGAAUAUACAUGUAAACAAUAAUACAAGAUAGAUAAGUCAAAUAAAUGAAGUGGGCCAAAUAAAACACUGACCUUCCAAUAGCACCAAUGACACACAUCGUAAAGAGGGUUGCAAAUAGAGCAAGAAUAAGCUUGUCUAGUUUCUUCUCCAAUGUACUUCUUUUAGAGGGAACAUUCAUAGAAUUCAUCAUAACCUGCAAUAGUGUCCCACUGCAGUAAAUCUCAAAACUAGAAGCACAUCUAACCUACAAGUUGAAUAUAUAGGGACACAAAAUUGCACAUACUUUCGUCUCAUGGCCCGUGAAUAUAACAGCCGCGACAAUGUACUCUGUAUUACGAAGGCUGCAUCCCUGUGGCAAAGUGGUAAUAAGAGGUUGCAUGUGUGCCACAUAAAGAGAGAGAAUUAAGUGUCAUGCAAGACACCGUUCAGUCUGGUGAAAGUAAACAUUUCUUUUGCACUUUACAAACAUUGCUUCAACCCUUCACCACUUAUCCUACAUAUGGGACUAGAGAAGAAAUGGAAGUUGUUUAUAUGAAUGUUAAACAUUUCCAAAUUGUUUAUAUCAUAGCUAUCCUUGUUUGCAAACCAAUAAGAACAAUAUUAUUAUAGAGGUGUUUUAUGAUGAAAAUUUCUGCUGGUGACAUUUGGGUGUCGUCAAUAUUGGUAUUUGGAGGAGAUGUUGGUGAUCAAAGUUAAAGGCCGAGUAAAGGCAUCACGCUAUGAUGUUAUUUUUUACCUGAGGGAUUUUCUUAACAAACUCAUGCUAAAUCUAGAACAUGCAAACAACUUUGCAGGUGGACAAUCUUGUAAAGAAAUUUCAAGGGCAUGUUUGUGUGAGGGGUAUUACUUUGGUACGUGUUGGUAACUACAUACCUAAUUGUUACAAGAAAAAUCUCAUCCAAACAAGCCCUAAGGACAUUAUGGACCUUGCUACUGCAAAGUUGGUAAGUCGAAAAUACGACAGGAUGUCUGAUUGAUAUGUAGGACCUGGACCCACAUGUCAUUCUCACAGCGAGUCGCACUAUUUCAAAUGUCAACUUUGUGGUGGCAUGGUUUCAAUUUUCCCAAUAAGAAACUAGAUACAAAUAGCAUAGAUGAACAGCACUUACCCUUAGUAGUAUUUGAUUUGGUGAAAUUGGUAUAGUUUGCUUGUCCACAAUAAGGUUCCCGGUAAAUGUAUAAAGUGAAUUGUUUGGCUGUUCGCAUUGUAUUUCACCUGUAAGCCAUGAAACAUACAGAUAAUGUGAAGUUAAGAAAAUGUAGAAUAGUUAAGUGAAGUUCAGAAAAGGAGCAAUGCUUCCUACACCAACUACCGAAAAAUGUCUGCAACAUGGAACAAGAAUAGAUAAAAACCUUUGAAUUCAGAAGCCUUUUCAGGAAUUACGCAGUCCCAGGUUUUCUCCAAAGCCUUCCUUAUUUUCAGGUUAGUUUCCCCAUCAAGAUUUGCUGUCUAAGGUAAAUAGAAGUAUGAUACACUUCAAUUAAAACAGAGUUUCUCUAAAUCAUUCAAUAAUUUCAAUUUGGACAAAAGAUGGAGAAGGUAAGAAUGAAUAUAUUGACCUCUAUGUAGCAGACACCAUCAGGGUUCGUACUUGAUAGGAAGAGCAAGUCAGAAGGAAAGUAAGUGUCUUGCUUGAUCUGCUCUAAAGAAGUGCCAUCACUAUUAGUCUUUUUGGAUAUGUGUAUCGAGCUGAAGAUUAAAUUUGCACAGCACAAAAGAUCAAGUGCAUUAAUUUGUGGAAGCAACAGAUCAAUUGAAUUGAUCAUCAAAUUGCUAUCAGGAAAGAUGAAGACAUUACCCUCACAAUAUCUCCAACCUGCAGUCUUUUCCAAGGGGCACUUUCCCAUUUUUGACCUUGCAAUACAUCGACGUGCGCAUUAUUAAUUGACAUGUCAUUCUGGAAACGUUUCUGUAUAAUGGGAGGCAAACAAAAAGGGAAGAAUAUCAGAUAACAUUAAGAAUAGCAAUAAAAUAGUGGAGCAACAGAGCAUGAGAGCAAUACUAACCCAGUCCUCAAAAGCUUCCUUGAUGAGUGAAACCAAAAGCACUAAACUAAGUGGAACCACAUUGGUGACAGGGUGGACUGGACUGCGAAGAUACAAGCAUGUAUGAACUAAGAUUUCUAGAAGUAAAGGUGAAGGAAAGCAAAGGAUGACUGAAUCAACUGAUGGACUUGAUAUGCUAAGAAGUGUCUAGCUGUAACAUGAGAAUUCCAUAGGGUGCAUGCAUGAGAGAGAGAGAGAGACCUAAUUGGUGUAGUCGACAAGAUUGAAAUCAUAAGAAAGUAAAGAUUUGCCACCCGUCUGAACUGUCAAAGCAAAAAAAAAAACAAAUGAAUUACAAAAGGUUCCUAUGGUCAAAUUGCGAUAAUACAGAAAGGGAACAUCUAAAUCGGUGUUACAGCUACCAUUGCAAAGUUUCUUUAUUCGAUAUGGAAAAAUGCAUUACAUGUUUAAUGUAUGAAGCCAUUGAAAUACUUUAAUGUACCUUACGUAAAAAACAGUGGAUAAUGAAAUUGCCAGAAUUAUGGUAUCGCAUAAAAUGAAGGUUACAUUGAGCGAAAAGCAUGAUCAGGGCUUUACCAAAUAACAAAAUCAUACUUCUCCUUUUCUCAAUAUAUGGCAUUUUAGGUUUCAUUGAAGACAAGUCUUUGAAAAGGAUUUACUUUGUGUUGUUUUUAAGGCAUGAAAUUUAUAUCACUAGAUUCAUCCUCAAAAGUACUUAAUGUGGAUUCAUAUCAUAUAAAUCACAUAUUAAUGAAGUAAUUCUUGGUCAAAGUCUUGUAUUAACGAAACCUAAUAUGUCCUGUAUUGACAAAAUGAGGGAGUAUAUUAUCUAACAGUGCAUGUAUACAGGCACGAUACUGGUAGCGCGUAUUACAAGCAAGGUAUCUUAAAAACAUUGCAACACAGUGCCAGACCAGGUAAGCAACUAAGCAUCUCAUGUAUCCACUAUUUUAAGGGAAGUUGAUCCAGAGUGAGGAAAUAAACAUUUUUAAGGAGAUAUAUCAAUUUGCAAUGUGAAAAUGAUACGGAGUAGUAUAAUCAUUUCACUGUGAUAACAAAUACUCCCUCCGUUCUAAAUACUUGUCGCUGUUUUAGUGCAAACUAAAACAGCGACAAGUAUUUAGGAACAGAGGGAGUAACUUCCAUUUACCGUUAGACAUGAUACAAAAUAAUAUGUUGAAAAAAAAUCUAGCCAAAAACUAAAAAACAAACAGAAAAUCUGCAUUAAACGAUGACAAACCCAGCAGGUAUGUUGAUUAACAAAAUAUGUAUGAACAAAAAACAACGCAUCAAUACCUGUUCAAACAAUCCUUUAGGUAGAAAUGUCAGCACACUGUACUUUGUAGUCGACACAGAAUUUCCCUGGAAAUGUAGAAUGAGAAUGUUAAAGAACUAAUUCUAGCAGAAAAACAAAGUAGCGCUCUGCAUUAGAAUCGCGAUGGUCUGAUACCCAACAUGAGGGAGAUUCUGAAACUAAACAGAAGAGCUAAUUGCAACUAGAAGCAUGAAAAAAGUAUAGCUUGAUCUUUUUACAACAUCAAGUCUGAAUACAUUCAAGCAUUUACACUAACUUGGAACAAAAUGUGGGUGUCAAAGAAAAUGCAUGAAUACACCUACUUACAAUAAAGCACCAAUUUUGCAGUGAUUGGACAAACUAUGGUUAAAAUACUUAAUAAUAGAGUUCUACGUAUUUGGAGGCAUAAAACGCAUUGCAGUUGGAGCAGUGGCAUUAUCAUGUUAGUCAGUCUAACAUGGCAGUGAAUGACGUGAAUUUUUUGCUAGUUUAGACCUCUGGCCAGCGCAAUUGACAAAAAUGCCCCCCUCUCAAAACUAAUGCCAAAAAUGGUCUGGCAGAAGGCCCGAAAGGCGCCACAUUUCAUUUUUCGCCAUCUGAGCUGCGCAUGCAAACAUUCCGACAACCUGAAAGGCGGAAAGGCCGUUCCGCCUACUGCAUUUGAUGAAUGCACCUGACAAGGGCGGAAGGUGAACUGGGCCCUGCAGAUGGAAGCAAUUUCCACAUUUGUUACAGACCUGGAAUCUUUUUUUUUGUUGGAGUCGACGGACCAUGUAUGUGCGGAUGCAUAGGAAUCGGCAAGCAGCCUAGCUGCUAGUUCACGGGCACGUUUUACAUUUUCUUUCCUCAGGUUUGGCUAGUGCUACCACGUUGAUACUAAUCAACGCUUCUUGUGAAUGGGCUUAGUUGCUUCUACUAGUCGUGCGAGCGUUAAUCUUUUCUCUGUGCGCCUGCAUGUGCGGGCGUGGGAAUCGGGUCAGGUCCCUGCAGACAGCACGCCUGGCUGCACUGGGCCUGCUUCAGCUUCCGCCCCUGAAAAUUCACUUUCGUCCAUUUCAACUGGAAACAAGUAGGCUCCACCUGUCCUGUUGGCGGAAAGUUCAUUCCUCCUACCCAGUGGCCACUGGGUCAGUUGCUGGGCUUUCCACCACGUCAUUUUUCAAAUUAUAUUUCAGAUGGAGCUAUUUUUGCCAAUUCCGUUUGACAAGGGGCUACAAGAGCAAAGAAAUUGAAUGACAUAGCAAGCAAUCAAUUUCCCCUUAUAGGUAAAUAAUAAACAGCUUUGCUUCAGCUUACUGUCAUCAGCUGGUGGCUGACUGCCCUGACCAAACACAAGUUCAGUAAUCUACACAGCAAGCGGCACACAGGUGCAGCUAAGCACAUGGAUGAACAGAAUAUUCCAGCCAUUGAGGCUCAGCUCUCGAAGCUUAAUGCCAGGUGGCAUCUACAUUGUAUUGCAGCCCGUAGCACCCUGAUUGACUAGUAACCCAACAAUGAGACAAGCUCUAAUCCACCCAAUGACCUCACAGUUGGCAAGAAAUGCAGCCCUUAGUGACACGCACCACCCUACAUAACUUUCUCGUGGACUAAUCAGUAUGAAUCAUAUAAACCCUCUGCAAGCUGCAGUGAAAUAAAACUACUACUACUGAACUAGCUAUUGUCCCAGAUGGCCAUCUCCAACCCAACCGCCCAAGCAUGAAACAAGGGGCCAGUUACGAGAUCUAGGCCUACAGACCCCUAGACCUUGAGACAACCGACCUGUUGAUCAUCCGAAUUAGAGGAGGAGGUGCACACCCGUACCUUGUACCCGACCGGCGCGUUGGCUUCGCGGUCGUUGCAGUAGAUGGUGCGCACGGUGGGUGCCUGCGGCUGCGGCUGCCGUCGGAGGCUGCCGCCCCCGCCGCCGAGACGCGCCGUCCUGGACGCCUCAGCGCGGCCGGCCUGAGAGGUCCCCCCCCGCGGCGACUGCUCGCCGCCCAGCCGCGCGGUGGCAACCCGCAUCAUCUCCUUUAUGCGCGAGCUCAUCCUGCCCCCCUCAGCGCCAAACCCAGCGCUGGAGGAGCCGGCGGGAGAUCUGGGGAAACCUCACGGUGGAUCGGAGGGGAGACCUAGUCGGAUUUGCGCGGCUUUCUGGUGGAUUUCAGUGCCUCGCUGAGGAGGGGAUUCGAUUUGGGUCACGCGUUCCCGUAUGUGCGUAUUUUUUCCGUGUAAUUUUUUUGUUUUGCCUUUUUCUUUUCCUUUGGCUCCGGGAGAAGAGAAGACAGGAGGGGAAGGAAAAGCGAAGGUCGCGACUUCGCGAGGAAGAAAAUGAAGGGAUUACUGCAGAUCACACCCUUGAUUAUUUUCGAAUAUGGAAAGCUCCAGUAACUGAAGUUUGAAAUUCCAGCCGCGUUUGUCUUUUCCUUCUUCGAGCAAACAACCGUGUUCUUGACUUGUUCUAUGUUUUUGCUGUCCGGAGGACUACCCGAUUUGCAAGUAAAUAAUGGCAUUAAUUUCAUAUAAGCACUUUAGGACACCACACUUGACAUGGUUUUCUACUGACGACGACUAUAUGGUGGCUUUGAUGUUCCAUGAAUAGAUCUUUUUAGCGGUGUUUCAAGUUCAGGUGUUAUAACAAAGCAUUACUCUUGACCUAUCUUCCCUUGCGACCAUGCUUUUUGAAUCGCCAAGUCGAGUCGAAUCGCCCCCCAACAGACUUGGAGGUUAGUAUGAUUAGUCAGAAACUAGUCUCGACUAAUCAACCCAAGUCGAGCCUAGUGAUCAGUGAGGUUUAGGGAGCUCUAGCAGGGAGCAUUAGAGGAAAGGAGUGAAUUGCAGUAGAGGGGAAGCACGAGGGAACAGUUUUUGUGGUGCUGGAGCUUGAAGAAGAGGUUCAUGGCGGCUAGGAUCUAGGAGUCGAUAAACUUAGAACGCCCGUGUUGAGGCAAACGCGUUGAGGAAGACGACUUCAAAGGUGGUUGGCUCAUUAUCAGGAUAGGUGCGUGCCUGGCAGCCCAUAAAGGCCUAUUAGAAAACCCUAACUCCCCCCUCCCCCCCCCCCCCACACACACAUUGCCUUCUUCUACACCACACACGCACCAAUGGCGGCCAUCUUCUUCCCCUUCCCUGCUGCUCCCCAUGCCUUCUCUCCCUCCCCGAAAAGAAAUAUCUUCCGAAAAUUCUUCUCUUCGAGUCAAGUUGAGGGGCUCGCGGCGUUCCUAGUCACGGCGGCUAGUCGGAGAAGUCGCGGUUCUAGCUGACGAGUCGCGCGACUUGCUCUGCUAGUCGAGUCGCGGCUGCAAGCCGCCAUCAUUGUGCUGGCUCGGCGACUAGUUGGCGAUUCAAAAACCAUGCUUGCGUCUUAUAAUUUUGUUUCCUCUUAGAUUUUUUUCAAUUAUGUAUGGAACUCUUUUAAGCUUGGCUAACAUAUUGGGUCAAUUUGUCUCCCAUUGAAAAAAAAACAAUUUCCUAUAAAAAAUAAAGUAUCCACAAAACAAUAUGCAUAGCGCAGUUGUUUUCAAAGUUGUGGAUGAAACUUUGUGUUGUACAGGCAACCACUUAAUAACUUGUUCGGUUGUAGAAUUCCCCGCAUGUAUUGAAGAGGAUUAAGAGAGAUCUAAGGAAAAUUGAUCUGCAAUUCGAUCAUUCCCUCUUAAUCCCCAUCGGAGUGGAAUCAACCGAACGGGGCUAAUGUGGACCAUAUCACCUUGAGGACUCCAUUCUUCUUUUAUGGCAACGUUGCAUGGACCUUGAUAUGAACGCACGUGCCUGCAAUCUCUAUUAUUUUUUCGUAAAUAGCAACUGUCCUUUCUGUAUCUUGUAAUAUGUUUUCUACAAUUUUAUUUGGGAUAUUUCGUCAAGAACCCAAAUCGAUUACAUUUUCCACUUUGGCGAAUGAGUCAAGAUUCUCCAUGUGUUCCAGCGAGGCAACUGCGAGCUACACAUGUAUGGUGAAACAAGCCUCGCAACUUCGUAAGUAACUCCAAAACUACAUCAGCACGUCUCUUGAACUUUGGAAACACACAGACGUGUUCCACGACCGUGAGGCGACGGAGUUAACGGGGCAGCGUUGCCGGAAAGACAAGAGUACCGUAACAAGGCCCAGACUGGGCUGCAUCGGCGUUCUGCCUCUAUUACAAGCGAGAGAUGUUGAACCGGCCAAGGUUAGGCAAGGCAGUCAGCGGGAGGAUUUUUUUUUUUUUGUUGUUGGUUUUGAAGAGGCGCGGGAGGAGAAGAACUUGCUUGACCAGCCCACAAGAUCGUGAACCGGUAUGACAUUGACAUUUUAUUUAGGGCCAGUAACGUGUAAUUAGAAGUACUAGCUUACAUCUCUUCCUUUUUGAACCGUCAGAUCUGCAACCAUAUCAUCUCUCCCCUUUGUCCUCUUCGCUAUGCCGAUUUUAGUGAAACGCCGCUGCCAAAUCUUCACAGGAUUGUGAACCGGCAGCAGCUUCGACCCUUCAAUAUUAUUAUUACAGCUAAAUAAAAGACUGAAAUUAUAGGUGAGGUCCUUUGUUCUAAUCGCCCAAGCGAGCAGAAGCCAAGAGAUUACGUGCAAGCAUAGCAUGGCCAUGUUCGCCAACUCAUGACAUAGUGGCACAGGGACUAACCACCUGGAUUACAUGGCUAGCUUCCAUAUAUGUGCAACAAAAUAUUGGUACCAGGCAGCCAUCUGUGCCACCAACCAUAAACUCCCUGAUCCCAAAAAAUACAAAAUACCAAGAGUUUCCACCCACAUCAGUACAAGUGCACAACAGUUUAAGAGACAAGCCAAGGAUCAUUCCCAGUUUGUGGGAAUAAAUAAGAGUCCGCAGCAAACAGAAAACUCAAAAUCGCUGGCAAAGUUAGGAUGUGGAAAAAAGAAAGGCUUAAAAUGAUCUAGCCAUGGCGUCAGAAUCUAUUAUCAAUGUUUCUCUCUCAAGGAUUUCCCUUCUAUAUAAAGUAUAAUAUUACAAAGGGGCUGCUUAAAUAUCAUGGACUCCUGGAAUGUAAAGAGGGUAAUAAUCAACACUACAUGAGCCUCCUUUUUCCUGAGGCUGCUUCCUAAGACUGACUGACUGCUUCCCCGAGGAUCCACAUACACCCUCCCCUCUCCUCAAGUUCCACCUCCCACCAUGGAAGUUAAACCCCCACCAUGGAUCCGAUGCUAACCAACUGUACGCGACCUGGAGAAAGUCAGUCAGCUUGGUGGUUCAAUCAAGACAGAGCAUCACGAUAUUGCCCAAAUGGUAUAAUUGGCAGGAUCAAUAAGUAGUUUAUGCUCGCAGCAAGAUCCAAAAGAACCAAUCUACCAUGACUAAUGUAUGACAAGAAUGAUGUCUUAUGUCUACUUUCAGAUACACUAUGGUCCAGGUGAAACAAUAUUUUAAAGUUUAGUAAUUACUGGCAGUAGUAGACAGACCACAGAAGUGUAAAGAUAUUUGCACACAUGACCUUUUAAUCCAAGGCUAACCCAACCUUGUAAGCUACGUGCUGUUUGUGCUAACGCUGCUGCUUGAAUGCAAUUAGACAGUGGUGAUGUCCUUGUUAGUCUGUUACAUACCUAAGGCAUCACCUCCUGAUUCUAGGUUUGCACCGGAACUCUGCUAAGAGCGCUAUGUGAUCUGAUGACCAUUCAGGUGAAGGAAGAGCAGUGUCUUUUCUUAAGCUCUCCUCAUCCAGAAGUUCCAACAAAGACUCCACGGUCAACGAAUCCGCUGAAACAAUAAAGGAAACAUGAUCAACUGACCAUAAUCAAACAUAUCACAAUACUACAAGCUGAUUCUGAAGCAAUUCCCAGAAGUCUAAAUACAGCAUACAGGUCAGGUACCUACCUGUGUAAAAUAUAUAAUCAACAGUUCCAGUGAAAUCCCUUGUGCAAUUUGUGAAAAGUGGUUCAUUUGUUCCUGGAUCCAUCCUCCUUCGCUGGUGCUCUAAAUCAUAGCCAACACCUACCAUUCUUGCAAAUGAAGAAUAUGCACUGACCUGCAAACAAGUAAACAUUGGUCAGAAUUUUAAAGGAAGAACAAGAUAGACAAGCUUGAUAGUUUUACUGUACCAGAGGAAGCUGGUGCGUCAACUUGCUCACGGGGCGUAAAAUUGAAAGUGGGUCUAUGGCCAGAUCUGGAUGCAAUUGAUCAACUUUGCCCACCGCAAGAAGCCCAUGUGGAGUACUGAAAGACAAAAGGAAGCACUUAGAGAUUUAAAGUUAGAAAAAACAAGUAAACCUGAAAAAUAUUGCUCCAAUAGAAUCUUGACAUGCACCUCCCCGGGAUUGAAUUGAAAUCCCCACAGACCAACAUUGGAAUGUCUGCACUGUUGGCUAUUUUCUCCAAUCCUUUUAGUAGUGUUUGAACCUGCAAAAAACAUACUUACUUUCGAUCUGAAUUUUUCAGAUGUUGCAGAAUGCUAGCCUACAGAGAAUGUGACAAUACUGACCUCCCAUAGUUUCACAUCUUUGAGGUCUUGGUGGACAUUUACAUGUGUAUUGGCCUGAAAUUUGAGAUCAUUUAAAAGAAUGAGACCUCCAUGACUCCAAGUAGCAUAAGCCUAGGCCGUAUGAACAAUGGGAAAUCUGUAGUAAAGUUGGCCUCAAAAUCUAGAGUCUAGAGAGCCAAGUCCCAAUCAUCCGCCAUUAACAUAUAGAUGUUUCCGUGCAUCUUAUGCUACUAAGGUCAUCCUACACAGAUAUAUGUUUCACUUCAUUCCUAAAUGUUGUGAGCAAAGAAGGAAAAGAAUCCAUAUGUUGUUCUGCACUAUGCUGCUAGCAGUUCAAUAGCUAAACAUACGGGAAAGUCCACUUUUGGCCCCUUAACUAUUGCCUCAGAUCAAAAUCAUCUAAUUUGCACCCUCAACUAUCAAAAGCAUCCAAGUUACAUCUGAAGGCAAUAUUUGUUAGAGGCUUUGUGUGAUGUGGCAUCCAUGUCAACGUGUUUUGCCACAUCAAUCGCUGCUGGGCAGUAGGGCCCACAUAUCAUGGCUGCCGUGCCCCUUCUUUCUUUAUAAUUCUUCCUCCUUAGCCAUGCCAUGGCCUCCUCUGUAGGCUAUAGCUUCCACUGCUGCUGCUACAGAUAACCCAUGUUUGACGUUGCAUAACAUCUUCUGAUUUAGAGAGGGGUAUCCUGACAGACAUGUACCAGUCUCCGCAAACCGCUGCACGGCUGCAUCCUGAGGGGAAUGGACAAAGAGAGGAUUAGAGAGGAAGGCUGAGGAGGGAGGCGUUUAGGGCGACUCCAACACGGCCACCCAAAUCGGACACAAAAAGUGUGUCCGUUUGGGUCUGCUGGUGCCCCUAACACGGUCACCCAUUUGGUCCGUUUUAUUAUUUAGUAUUGGCCACGGAUAGGCGGGCCAGGGCAAGGACAAGGGAGGACAAGCGCAGUGUCCACCCGCUGUCCGCCCAGACACAAACCCGGUCAGAUUUGGGUCGGCAAUGGGUUGAGCUGGACAGAAAAGCAGACAGCCGCCACACCGGACGAAAUGGGUCGCCGCGUUGGAGUCACCCUUAAUGCUAAGCUGGGAAAGAGGAAGGGAACAGAAAUAAGAGGAUGAGGACAAGGGAGGGAGAAAAGGGUGCUUCCAAAAAAUCAAUCCCAGGCAUGUGGGGCCUACUGCCCAGUGGAGAAUGAGAUGUCAAAGUUGCUGAUUUGGCGGCUACAUACAGAAUAUCACUCAUGAAACCAGCUUCUGGUCCUAUCGAACGGUUUCAUGAGUUGAUGGUUCAAUUUAGACCAGGCAAAAGUUGAGGGAUCAUAAUUAGGCUUUUCCAAACAUAAAUGAAUGUCAUGCUGUAAAAGUAGUGUUCGUCAUCCAGUAAACUGGUUCGAAUAUCCAACAAGCGCACAACUACUUUAUACACAUCUAAAGAAAGAACAGCUAUUUACAUACCACACAAAGGAGCUGCCUUUUACCAGGAGUUUCAGUUCCUUGGUUGCCAAAUUUUGCUUCUAAAACCGCAAUCAGCGCAAUAUUAUCCUUCAAAGCAAAUAGAACGUGUGAUAAAUAACAUCACUUUUUUUUGCGAAAAGUGAUAAAUAACAUCACUGUAGCAUACAUUAUUUCUUUUGAAGUUAAUCUUACUUUAAUCAGUCGACUUAAAGCCACUCUUUUCUGGGAAGCUGGAAUAAUAGCUUCUGUUAAAGACUGUGCAGCCUUAUUGAACUCAACCUACACAAGCAAGUACAAGUAUUAGAUAGCUGCAAAUAUCAAGCUGCUGCAAACCUGCAGUACAGGUACCUCGUAUUUUUUGACAUGUGAAAAUCUAUCUCUACGGAAGAAAGUAGCACAGCCAUCAAUGGCAUUAGGAACUCCAGCAUACACCUGUGACAACAGUAAAGUAAAAUCAAACAAGAGACAAAAGGUAUUAAACCAAAAUAUGAAGGAAAAAAUCAACCCAAAGAUACCUCUGUUGUCCGUUUCUUGUAAAGCGCCUGAUACCCAUGUUUAUCAAACUCAGGAGCAAAAAAAUCCUCAAAGUGGUUCAAUUGUACCUGAAAACAGUAGGACUUGGCUUAAUUCCCUCCUGUUACAAUCUUCGGUCACUCUUCGUUUUUAUUGUAAGCCGCUUCAGUAAACUCUUCAUAAUAUAUAUGCAGACAAUAUUCGUGAAAGUUUAAACAGCAAGCAAACUAUCAUAAAUUCAUAAUCCAACAUCACUGAAAAGUGAAAACAAUCAAACAAAGUGAUGGCACAAAUAUGGAAACGAACAGCCCAGCAGUAUAUGAAAGAUUGUAGGUUGAUGAACAGGGUUCCGGCAUUAAAGUUUACCGAGUCGCAAAAAUUAUAUGAUCAACCAAAUGAGACAUGCUCGGUUCCUAAAACAAAUAUAUGAGAUGAAAAGCUGAAAAUAGGUCACCAAAAUAAAUAAAUUCAGAAGAUAGCAAACAUAUGAUACCUCCUGAAGACAUAUAAUAUCAGCAUGAUAACCAAUAAUUUCGCGCAUCAAAUUUUGUCUUCUGUAAGUCCAUGAAAGUGCCCACGUUGGGCAGUAGCUAUAUGCAUCAGAUGUAGCAUAUGCAUCAGCAAGAAUAUUAUAGGACAGCACCGUGAAUGUCCCAAAAGAAGAAGUCUGGCUGUCUAUAUCUGAGUGACCCAAAACAUCUCCAUUCACUUGGAUAAGGCGGCGUGGAGUAGGAGUUGGUGCUGGAAUCACACGUGAUGUCAUAAUUGAAGUUGGAGACCCCGCAGGUACUUUCUUUUCCGUAUCCACCGCUGCACAUUCAAAUCUUAGAACAUGCCCAAUAUCAUCAGCAGUUGGUGUAUACGUCUGCGAGCGUCCCACUUCAAACCAUGUUUCACCCGAGUUCUUAUCAGUGCCUGAGGGAUACAAGGGAACAGGUCCAUUAUUAACUCCAGGGCUCUGUCCAAGAUUUGACAUUGAGCCAGACCCAGAACUUAGAAUCCCAGAACUACCGCUGCCAAAUCUACCAAAUAGCUCCUCCUCUUCAGCUCCAUUUUCAUUUAAAGCACUACUAGCUCGCUCAUGCAAAACCCUGUGGUGCUGCCAUGCAUCAGAGAAGCACUUAGCAGAACAAUGGUAGCUCUUAGCAGCAGGUAUUUUUGACUUGAGACAACCUAAGCACUGAAUUGUUGCUUGCUCCAUCGGAUGUACACUGCAGAUAGUAACUUUUCGAUCACUCUGUAUGCGAUACCUUCGAGCGAAAAGUCAAAUCAGUAUAACCAUGUGCUACUAGAUACAGAAAAAGUUUAGAAGAACAUGAUUGAAUAUAGUAACUACAAGAAAGGACACCUAAAUUGCCAAUGUUUUAGCAUGUAUGAGAUCCAGGAAAACUUGCUAUCAGCAUCUUGGAAGUCCAUUAUUCAGAGACAUUAGACUCACAACACUUCCAUUAUAAGCAUAGUAUGAAUAAGGCAAAAUGAAGCAGGUUGCCAAGAUGUCGCAAAAAAAAAGAAGCAAAUUACAAGUUUGCUUGUCAUGAGUUGCUGCUGCUGUUGUUUUUUCUUGAUUUUAGUCCCUCAACCGGCUAACUCGUGAUCAUUCAUCUCUUGCUUUCUUUACCAGAUCAACCAUGCAACUGAUUUCUUUAGCGGACCAGGCAAUAUAUGUAAUAAGCAAAAUUCUACAGUUUAGAUCAGAGAUUCAGAGGACUAUUGCAGGCUCUCAUAUAUCAUCAUUAGGGCAUGACGACCAGACAAGGAAGUUGCUGUGUAUAUUAUUAUUCCUAGAAGAAAAACAUUUAAGUACUGUUCAAGGAGGCGACCAACUAUAGCCCAGUGCCCACCCCAUCAAUCGAUUAGUGUCUUUCAGAACACUUCAUUUCAACAAUGUGUCUAUAAAUGGCCACACUUACUAUACUCAAACCUCAAACCUUAAAAGUGAAUAAAGAUGCACAUAUCACAUGAGAUUCUAUCAAGCUAAUGACUGAAAAGCAACACAAUGAAAAUAUAAAAAACUAUAGAAUUGAAGGACCAAAACCAAUGAAACUGCAUGAGUGUUAGUGGGACCAAGCACCACCAUUUCGAAAAGUUCUAAGGUCUAAAGUCUCAGCAAUAAAUGCUAUUUAAACCUACAUGACAUUAAAAAAACGGAUGUGAUAAAACAAAUAAAUAUUCACGAACAUGAUCAAUCAUUCAGAGCGGGAUUCUAAAAUUGAUCACUGAAAUUGUUCGGCCACCCAGCUAUUAGUGAUUAUACAGCCGAGCUAGCUCAUUGCAGUGGGUGGCAUAACCAGCGGUUACAAGUUCUUUUCUCUCAUAUUUGCCUCUCCAUUUUUCAUUUUUUUAUUUCCAAAUAGAUCUACAAUGUUAUUUGAAUUUUAAAAAUAAUAGGUAGGGCACUCCUUACAUACAUGACCUCCUAGGCCAUUUAAAACAAAUAUGCAUUGUUUGGGGUUUUUUAUAUAACAUAAAGUAAGUUAACUAUGACACACUGCCAAAAUAUUUUUGCAUAAAAAACAUUAAAUUUGAUAUAGCACAGAAAGAACGUGGAUAUCCAGCAAGAGAUUAAAGAAGGCAAAGUGGGGCAGGCAGUCAGCAAAACAAAACUAGUGGAUCACGAGUUUCAAACUUUUACUAGCUUUAAGCAACUGAAAUAACUUGCCACUGAACCUAGUGAGCCAACAACUCUAACGUGUAAUAGCAAACAAGUAAUAAUUCUUUUGAAGCUCCAGAAUAAUCAAAACUGAGUCUAGAAUCAAGCUAGAAUGCCCAUUUGAGUUCACUGGUGAUGUUAGAGUGAUACUUAGUUCAAGGAGUAUAUCCAGAUACCCCAAUCAAAAAAAUCAUCUGAAGCCAUGCGAACAAACUGAUGGCACUUCUAGAAUAGUGUCUUUCCACAAAAUUAGUUAGAUAAGCCUAUGUAAUCCCAAAAUUUAUAAAAUGCUCCCGUUCCAUCCAAGAUGAACGUAAACAUUCCUGCACAACGAUUGGCAACAAUCCUCAACCCAACAGCCUUCAUCACCAUCCUAUGAUGCUAUCUAACACUCAAUAGUUCUAGCAAAACCAAAAUCAGAUGGUCUGUUUUGCUCAAUGAAUUACUUAUUAUCAUUACCAACCCGUGUGGCAGGUUGAUAUGGCAUAGACUAAAUAGUAUGAUUCAUAAACAGGCUUAAAAUAAUGCAAUACUGAGUUCUUUACCAAAUCAAGCAUUGGCAUUUCAUGUUCCCUGGGUUUCCAUUCGUUCCAAAAACAAACAACUGUCUUGCUAGAGAAAAUCAUGCUCAGAAUUCAUAUAGUUGUGCUUCAUUUAUGCAAGAAUCAAGACGAUUCAUGAGUUUAGCAAGUAGUUAAGCAUCUAGCAAACUGAUUGAUACUUAAAGCCCCCAUUUUCUUUUUUUCUUUUUUGUCAAAAUUCACUUGUAGCAACGCACAAGCGGAACUAAGCAUUCGAAAGUGUAUAUCCUAUUGAACCAAAAGUUGCAAUCACGAGCUGCUCACUCACCAUCUGUAUCGCAUGAAGUGGCCAUCAACAGGCGCGGCCUCAGGCACGUCGUCGGUGGAGAUUACACCGUUGGGCAGCCGCAGCAGCACGUACGGGGUGAUUUCGCACCCCACGAUCGGGAUCUCCGACGGCAGGUGCACCCGCACCACGCUCAGCAUCCUCCACUCCUGCUCCCCUCCCCUGCUCUCCUCUGCCCAGCCCAGGGGCGGAUCUAGAUGGUGUGCCGGGUGGGCACCGGCACACCCAAAAUUUGUGGACGCUGCGAGGACGGCGGAAGGCCAGGGCGACGUCGGGAGAGGAGGGGAGCGCCGCCGUCAAGGGGACCGGGAGAGCGAGACAGGGUUAGGGUUGGUUGCCUGAGGGUAUUUUUGGGCAUUUCGAAAAUCUAGAGUUGUGUCCAGCGCAUUUUUUUUCUAAACUAGUAUUGCGUAAGCGGGACGGAGUGGUAAUGUUUGUGCAAGACAAGAGAGAGCCGGAGAGGAUGACAUGUUUUUUUUAACGAUAAUAUUAAAAACUAGUCAAAUGUCCAUGGGACAAACUCAUAUGCGAUACUCACCGCAUUUGUAGUUAUAGAUUAAUACCUUUUCAUAGCAGUUUGCAGAGAUGGAACCAUGAAAGGCGUUGCAGACGUAUAAUUCACUCGCUAAAAAAUCCAUAUUGAGAAAAUAAUUAUGUACUUGAUAGACUCGGUCUCACGAAGUUCUGGUAAGAAGCCGGUUCGGAGGGACAAAGUUCCAGAAAGAUGGCCGCAAUGUCACGCACGACCAGGCGAAUUUGUGAUAGUUUUUUUGUUAUGAAAAAGCAAAGUAUAUGUGAUCGGCAUGCGACCUUGUGGAUUGGGGUUGAAAGUGUUGGACUGCAGUGUAUACCUUCAACCCACCACGUCUUGAUUUAAAGGCCAAAUCAACGUAGGAUUCGGACUCCUUAACUAAAUACGAUUAGGAUUCCCUAUCUAUGUCGGAUUUGGUCUCCUAUUCUGUGAUUGGCAAUUGGGAAUUUAGACAUUAAUCCAUAGCUUCUCCAACUCUUUAGUGAUUGAACGUAACGGUUGGUACAAGCUAGGCUGGGCGCGAUGGGCUGAGGCUGAGGCAAACCAACCAUGGACCUCGUACCGUUUAGAUUGAAAAAAGGACAUGUUUUUUUUUGUUUAUCGAUCAGGACGGACAGGCGCACGCACGAGGGUGAGUUGGAGGUUCAGAUCGGUUGGGCUUAGUGGAAGUUUUAAUGAAAAAGGCCUACGGACGUUCGCCAUCACCACCGAUUGUAAUAUAAUAGACAUUGUAGAUUAGUUAUGAUUUGGACCACCGGGCACCGGAACCCAAGCUGCUCAAUUUUGGCAAAAUUUGCAGAAAGCAAACUCAAACCCGAUGGCUCCUAUGUAGAUGGGAGUGAACUCAGAGUAUUCUCAUCGUGUUGCUACAAAGCUUUUCUUUGAUGAUGUUCCCUCCGUUGUGUUUCCCUUGCGUGCUCAAGGACACAAUGUUGUGAUUGAGGAAAUUGUUGAUGACCCUAGCUCUGCCAUCUUCCGUCCGUAAGUGAGGGCACAAGCAGCGCGUUGCUACUCCAGAAGUAACUUCAGGUCUGUGCCAUAGUUCAUGCUCUACCAUGUUUAGAGGAUUCAAGUCCUAGCUUGUUUCUGAUGUGCAGAAGAAACAGUCCAAGUGUCGAUGUUAUACAUUGUCAGAAUAUGAUUCGGGAUAGCACACGACCAAGGAUUACUACUACUCUUGAUGGCAACAGUCUACGUGUUUAUCAUUUGUUGGAACUCCAAGCACAAAGUGAUGUAACAAAGGGUGUUUUCCCCCACAAGUGUUUUACCCCCAACAAGCACCACAAUGGUUGUCAAUCACAAUGAUCACUAUACAGAAUCACUUAUUUCUGACGCGUUAAAAAACUUCUAGUCUGACGCAAAUGGGACGUGUCACUAAUCAAGUGUCAAAGAUGACUCGGGAACUUCUGACGUGUCAACAAGCGUCAGAAGUAGGAAACCCUAAUGACGCUUCUUGUCGAUUGUUAUUAGAGACAAGUAUCCUCAUGUCGGGUGAAGGCCAUGUUUGUUUGAGCUUCUGCUUCAGCUUUUGGUGGUUCUAGCUCUCUAAAAAGCACUGCUUCCGUUUACACAUGAAGCUGAGAAGCACGUCGUGAGGUGCUUCCCUCCAGAAGCUGCAGGAAGCACCUCCAGACGUGCUUCUCAGCUUCAUGUGUAAACGGGAGAAAUGCUUUUUAGAGGGCUAGAAGCAGCAAAAGCUGAAGAAAAAGAAAAAGCCCAAACAAACAGGGCCGAAGAUGAGUAAGAAGAUAGAGGGGCCUCACGGUGAUAUCUACUCGUGUAAGAUAGAGAACUCGGCGAAAGACAAGGGUUUAUACCGGUUUGACUUGCUCCUUUUCGUGAAAGCAAGCCUACGUCAUGUUGGUAAUCUAAUAUUUGUGUAUGAUAUUACAAGGUGUGUUCUGCCCAUCGAGGGCGCCUAGCCCGCUUUAUAUAGUCAAACAACUAGGGUUUCGGGUAGAGCCGGGUACAACUUUUACAUGGACUGUACCUUCCUAAACUAGUUAGGAUUCUUCCUUUACAAGAUAUCUACAACUAGUAUUUCCUAUUACCUGAACUAGGCUUCCUUCUUCAAUACGACAACUUCCUUGACCGAGUGAUAGGGGAUGUCUGGCUUGUGCGCUGAGUCGACUUUCUCUGUUCAGUCGUCUCUCAGCUACCCGGCUAGAAUAUCCUCGUCAUUAGCCCCGAGUACAAUGUGGAUAGGGGGGAGCUGAAUAAUGCCAUCGUCGUCAAUCUCGAAUCUUUCUCGUUUCAUGUGCUUUUCUUGAGUUGCUUCUUCUUGAUUUUAUUCCGACCUCAAAUCCACAAUGUACUUCUCUAUGACAGCUUGAGGUUCGAGCUCAUGGCUUCUUAUGCAUAAAGUUCAGCUAUAAGAGCAAACCAGCUUCUAUGUGGCAUGUGUUAGCAUUGCAGCGAUAUUAGCUCCUGUUUUGAUUUGUGUUUUUUCCUUAGCUGUAGCGUUGCUUUGAAUUAAUUAGCAACUACGUCGUGCAUGUAAAAAAAAGUGAGUUCCAACAAAUCUCUGACGUGCGCUAGAACAAGAGGUCAGUGAGCAUCAAAAGUAUACUGACGUGGCGACACAAGGAAGAGCUAGGAAAUUCCUCGUGAACAAAGUUGACGCUUCCACAAAGGAAAGAGUCACAUCAGCUAGAAUCUCCUUCGACGCUUACGAAGUAAGGAAGCGUCAGUAGAAAUGAAGAGUCAGAAGUGUGGAAGUUCUCCUACGCUUCUCCGAGGUAGGUGUCAGAAAUAUCUUAUUGACGCUGCCUCGUGGAUGCUACCUAUGACAGUCCUUAUAAGGAGCCGCAGAGAUAAGGAUUUGCGCUGACGCUUUUUAGUUUUGUGUCAGUGGGGAGCUUGCAAGAGUAAAGUCUAUAGUAGUGAGUGUAAGGCUAAACUUUAAAUAAACAAAUAAUAACUUUAAGUAAACUAAUGCAAAACAAUAAUUUAAACUAACUAGAAGAUGCAAUAACUAUAUAAUAAAUACUACUACUUAUUAUGCAACUAAAUAACCAAGAGAGAAUGUUUAAAUGGCUUUUUACAAGAUAUCUAAAAAAAAGCAAUUAAAUAAAUGCAAAAUAAUUGUAACAGAGGUGUUUCUUAUGAUAUUAAAGAGGACCAGGAUACUCUUUGCGGCAUGAAUAUAGCACAUAGGACAAGUUCAUUUACUUUGCAAUGUUUUUAUGAAGUGAAUGAUAAGCAUUCAUAUGGACAUCACGUCCUAAUAUUGAGAAUAUGCAAAAUAUCUCACUAAUGCUCCCUUGGUAAGUGACUCAUCAAACUAGAUUAUUGCUUUAGGUACUUUGACAUGAUGUUGAACUUUAAUGCAACUUUGAGCAAGCAAGACCACCAUUGUUGUCAUUUGGUAGCAUAAUGCGUAUUCAUUUAUCCCUAGCGGGUCAAAUCACUGAAAGGUGAAAAUCAUAGUGGUUCCCAAAAUUUUUGUCACUAUCCGGUUGCCACUACCAAUUGCUCUAUCUAAUACACACAUCCCCACACAUGCACAUGUAAACUAGUAUGAUUAGUACAAGUAAGCAAGAAGGGAUAGACAUAUGCAUCUAUCAAUACAUCAAAACACAAUCCAAACAUUGCAAACUCAUGACUCAUCUCAUAACAAAAGGUUCACCAAUAAAAAAUAUAACGAUGAUCAUAAUCAUGAUAGGAAACUCGUAUGAUUCUAUUACAACCCAUAGCCCAGCGAGGACUACUCCCUCAUCAUAUUGGUGAUGAUAGAGAAUAUGUUCAAGGAGAAGGAGAGGCGACCGAUGGUAUUUUCCCUUCUAAUCUUGGAUCAAUCUGAUGUUGUUUUUUUUCUUUCCGAGUCGUUGUGCUAUGCAAGCGCAAAGCACGGGGUAUUAAUAAAUGGUUUUAGGUCAAGACGAAUCUUCGGGUGAAAGAAUGCACUUGCGGGCGGCCACUCGGGAUAAAAAACAACCAUGGUGAAUUAUGAUAAUCUAGUUUUUUCGACUACUACCUCUGAUCCUAAAUUGUUGUCGUGGUUUUACUUCAAAUUUGUACUAAAACCACGACAAGAAUUAAGGAUCCGAGAGGUAGUUUUUACCUAUUUUUCAAUUCGGCUUACCUAUUAUUUUCUAAUUUUCUUUGUAUGUUUUGACAAAUUCAGCACACUUCAGCAACCCAAACUGAACAUUAGUCCCGUACAGGAUUCCAGAGUGCGUUGUACGCAUGUGUUAGUAUAUUCCUAAGCAAGCAAGAAAAAAAUAAAAAGAAGCAAAUAGUAGCAACUAUCGGUUGAUCCCGGCCCUGGGCCAGGACAAGAAGGGCGACAGCCCGGGCCCGCCCAAUCCAGGGGACCAGAUCAUAUGUGUAUACGCUAGUAGAGAUACAUGUCCAAAUAUUGAUUAGCAUAAAAGAAAGAGGAAAAAAGCUAGAGGCCCAGCAGAUUGCUCCGCUCCUGGCCAACCCAGGACGUAUCAACGUGCUCGAAAAUUCCCCUUGGCACCCGGUAUCCAGGCCUAUGUGUAUCUCAGCCGACCAAUUUUCCAUCCUACGGCUCCAUCCUGCAGCUCCUGUCGUCCGGCCCGUUUAAGUAUACAAUUUGCUAUUCUCCCGUACAGGCGGUAUUUGCACCGGUUGGCCUGACACAUCCUUUUUUAUAUUGCGUUUCCCAGGCUGGCUGGCCCAAGUCCCACCUCGCGCAUUGCUGGGUGAGCACAAGUCCUUUUCUCCCGCUGCAUACCGUGGCACAGGUCUGCCCUUGAGACAUCGCAUUAAAUUUCCAUCAGUCCCAUUUUUUUGGCCCAAGAUUUCUGGGCAGGCACAGGUCCACGCCAUUGGGGGGGCGGUGGCGCGGCUGGCGAGGCCGACGUCGCGGCUGUCGAGGGUGCCUGCCACGGGCGAUGAGUCACCGAGUCAGGCUUCGGUGCCCAGAGCUGAAAAGCGUGCCGCGGUAGACGAUGUUGGGCGCCUUAAUGCCGUGCUCGGACACGAUUCGGUCGGGGACGAAGCUGUCAGUUCCCGCGCAUAGCUCAUCAAGGCUGUACUCUGUGAUCAUCGGCACAGCACUGUCGUCUUCCCCAGUUUCCCCAUUCUCUAUUUCUCUACACAGGGAAAGCAAACAGCAAGGGGAAGAGCAUCCAUCCUGUAAAGCAACGAGCUGCCGGCGAUGGCCUUCUCCACGACCGCGGAGCAACGCAGCGCCGUCCCCGUGCCUUCGCUGGAUGCCCGCUCGCAGCUCCGUGAUGGACCGCUUCCGCACGAGCACCGCCCGCCCGAACGGGUCGUGCGCGUCGGCAAGCGCGAGGGCCGAGGGACACGUUGAGGUGGCCAAAGGCCGGGUCGCUAGGGAAGAACUCCGAGCUGCAGACCGGGGGCGCGGGGCAGGGACGGAUGUUCGGGCAUCGGCCGGACCUCCUCCGUUGGCAGCUUCCGCAGGCGAGGAAAACUUGAGGGGCAACGGCAGAUAUUUGGGAUUUGACGUGGGUAUUGGUGCUCCGAUCUUUCCAUCAGAUUGAUAACUCUCGAUUUGGGUUGAAGAUGACGUUUGACGAUCCGACUACGGUCUAAAAGACAGCGCCUUAGUAAUCAAUACACCAACUACAGAGAGUUAUUGAUCACGCGGGGCACGAUCAACCUGACCACGAAGGUUUUUAUUCCUGCAAGCAAUCGAAAAACAAGCAAGACCAAGAUAAAUAGUGGAUGCAAUCUGAAAUUGCGAAUAUACUAUAUCAAACCAAUGUCUCAAUGAGACGAUAAGUUGGGAUUUCGAAAGUGGUAAAGCAGGUGGUCUAGCCGACAUAGACGAUUACACGAAGUUGUAGCGAUGGCUAACUUUUAACUAAACAAAACCCAAGUCUCCAUAGGGAGGCUAGUGGGGUAUAUAAAAGAGGAGGGAGAGAGAUUUUCGCCCACCUUGAGUAAGGAGGCCGAAAUCCAAAUCUAUUUCUAACUUUUCUAACAAACUAUAACUCUUUAGGAAACAAAAAAACAGAUCCGUCAUCUUGUUUUGUCUGCCACGGCCAGCACGCGUCGAAUCUCCUUGUGGGGUCAAAUCUGUUGGAAAGGUCUUGUAAUUACCUUUCCAACAAGUACUUGUUUGCUUGAUUUGGACUCUGAAUGCGGUCUGGGUGAUUAAAACAAAUUCGGAUCUCCUGACAGCUCGGACCCGAAUCGGAUUCAACUUUAAUUCGUGAUAUCUUUCACUAGCAAGCUCCGAACCAUGUGCCGUUCGAUUUGUUGGAAAGUAGACUUGAUAGGCUUCACCUUGCAUCUCCCGUUGCAUGCUAUCGCACCUCAUCUUCACUUUGGAUUUGAAAAGCUCGACCAAAUAUCUACAUAAUAAAAUGAUACAAGAUAGUAGCUCUGCCUCUUCAUGCAUAUGGCAUUGAAAACAAAUAGUACUUGACUUCACCUGAUUAUAAAAUGUUAUCGAAUACUCUAGAACUGAGGGUGCCAAAGGUUGUAUCUAUGGUUAGCAUGUCCAUAUCAUCUUCCCUUUCUUGAAACAAAAGCCGUCCUCGGUGUCGUUUGUGCUGAAAAGAGACUGACAAAACAGACAAAGUGUGUGCAUGGGUAUAUGUACAUGUCAUCCAUCUUUAUACAUCUCCUUUCUUGCACAAUUAAUGUUUUAUAAAAAAAUCUCAUGAGAUAAGUAGUCAAACAAUCAUCAUGAAUUACAUUCCAGCAAGAAGAUUGACAAUAUGUUUUGCAUAUAUAAGUGAAACAAUAUCUUAUACUAGUAAAAAGCCCGUGCUUUGCUACGGAAGAAGACUUUCUUUUAAAAACAUGCUAUAGGUUAAUUUUCAAAUAGUCGGCUGACUUGGGCUUGCGGGGCUGCGGCUUGGGCUGAAAGGUGGAGAUGGGGUUGGUGGGCCUGAAGGGGGCUCGGGGUUGCUGGGUUGCUGUGGGAUCGAGGCAGCGGGGAGGUUGAAGGCACGGGAGCAAGGGGAGGCAGUGCCGGCGAGGUGGACGAUGGGAGCAGCACGCGAGGGUGCUGGGCUGCCACGGUGACUGGAGCUUGGCGACAACGUUGGCGGAUUGCAGCAGCGAGGGAGAGGAGAAGAGGGCGCAACGAGUAAUGAAGGCAGGAGCGCCAGAGAGAGGAGGCGGCUAGACAGAGGAGAUCGGGAGGGAGAAAGGAGCUCGAGGGGAAAGAUGAAGGAGCAUAGGGGAUAUCGGGGAGGACCGGCUGCCUGGUUGGGUGGACGGGCAGGACAAGAAAAGGGGACGAGAGCGAGAGGGAUAGGGUUCGAGGAAGCCCGCAGAGGUUAGGGCUCGGGGGUCAGACGGAUGUUUUUCGGGACUGGGGAUAUGCAGUGGCAUAUUGAGCGUAAUUUUAAUGGAGUGACGUACCGCGACACCUGUACCAUCACCACCAACUCCAAUUUAAUAUAUUUGUAUAGAUUUAGUUUGCACCGCUCACCAUUAUACCAUCCCAACACUGGAGAAUAAUAAUUAAUGGUACCCAAAUUAGUUACUACAAGAUGCUGAAAUUUAGAGCAAGUCAAAGCAGUAAUAUUCAAACAAUCGUGUAAACAACUAUUUGGCAAAUAAUCAACACCAAUAUUGGAGAUCAUAUCAAAAUAGUUAAGCAUAUGCAAGAAUUUAUUUUCUCCCAAGAUAGUAAAAUUAUCACAAGUAAUACAAAUUUCAUGUACCAAAAAGUUAUUAUUCACAUCAUGUUCUCCAAUUAGUUGAAUAGUGGAUCCAUGAACAUUAGGAAAAGAUUUUGAAAUUGUUAACUUGGACACUUUUUCCAUUGCAUAUGAUAAAUACAUAUGUGUAUCAAGUGUAAUAUAACACAAAGAAUUAAUAGGUGGAUCCUUAUGAAUCACUCCAUGUCUAAUUAACUCGACACAACCUAAGCCAAAUUUAUCUAUCUCACAUGUUUCUCCCAAAGCAUUAGUUCUGUCCUGACAUGAUUCAUGCUCAUCAAUAUCAAAAUUAAUAUGUGCACUAAAAUCAUUAGAAAAAUUAAUUUCAGCACUAGGUGUACUCAAAUCAGCAUGUAAAUCAACAAUUUCACAUGGUGCAGAAAAUUCACCGAGUAUCUCAUUUAUUUCAUCACAUGUCAUAUUUAGUUCAGGAACACAAUCAUCUUUACCAUUACCUUGUGGUCUCGACUCAUUUGUAGUAGACCUUCACUGUAAUUUCCUCUCAACUUCACGAGCAAGAUUAAGCAAACACAAAAAAGAGUCGUAUUUUCCAUAUUCAAUUAUGUAAGAAAUAUCAAAGUUAAGCCCACAAUAAAACCUAUCCAUUUUUGUUUGUUCGGUUUCAUCUAAACCAGAUCGCAAGGUUAGAAUUUGGAACUCCUGAUAGUAAUCAUCAACAGUUUUAUCAUCUUGUUUCAAACGUCGUACUUUUGCACGCAAGUUACAAGCAUAACUAAAAGGGACAUAUUUUUCUCUCAUGAUUUUCUUCAUAUCAACCCAAGUGUGAGGAAUUUUCUUUUCUCUAACUAUCUCACUCCACCAAGAUAAAGCAGCAAAAGUAAAUUUACUACUAGCAAUUUGGAACUUGCGACUAUCAAGUACAUGGAAGCAUGUGAAUUGUUCAGUUAAAGCUAUCUCCCAAUCUAUAUACGUUUCAGCAUCAUUUUCCCCCUUAAAGAAAGGUACACACAAUUUAAUUGUAUUGGAAGGAUUGUUUCGUACCGUUGCCGUCGCAUUGUCAACAAAAGACGUGGAGGAUGGCCAUGGUGAAAAGCACUCAUCGCGGUCACGGGAUUGCAUCGGUCUAGUUCCCAUGCUUCGUGUAAGUCCUGUCAUUGUUAGUAGAAAACAAGAAACAAAUCACAGUAAUAUGUUCCUAUCAACUAAUAGGAUGUGGCUACAAGUCGUUCAACUCUCAAGCUAAAAAUCAAGUUCUUACAAGUUCUUACCAUGCAACAAGAAGGUGAUGGCCAGCGGCUUGACCAAGCCCCUCCGAGGAUUAAAUGUAUCAAUGCCUCGGUAACAAACCAACCUAGGUGUAGAAUCUGUGUAGCUUGGAAGCUUUUGUGAGUAGCAAGGAAUAGCAAAUAAUCAAACAGCAAUGCAAAGUUGAAAAUAUGCUAAAUAAUGCUAGUCCUAACUGCUGGAGUCGAUAAUAACGAAUUACAGAAAUAAUCUAAGCCUAGAUAGUGAAGAAGGUAGGAUAGAAAGAUCAAAAUAAAGGUAAAACAACUAAAUCUCUAGGAUUUUUCUUUUCUUUUAUUUAUUUAUUUAUUUAUUUUUGUGGCCUUCUGUUUGGCUUCUUAUUCUUUUCUUCUUUUUUUAUUUUUUUAAUCCCAGAAACUCAUGCAAAAGAAGUAAAGACCGGAAAACUGCACGUCGGUCUGUCGAAGAACAGCAAAGGGUGCUGUAAGAAAAUGUCAGAAAAAUAUGGAAAAAUAUAGGUUAGGAGCGUAUCGAAACAAGCUUUCCAGGAAGUGCAAGAUCACUCAAAUCGGAGGCCGGACGAUGGAGAUAACGUAAAAACACCGGCCUGCAGCGAUGCCGGAAACCGGAUGCAGAAACUUGGAAGCUCUGAAAGUCCACCUUACAAACCGAGUUUGAGGGUCAAGGAGUCAGUGCGAUGCCCUGGAUAUUUUCUCGUGCGCUUCGUCAUGAGCUUUCCAGAAAGUACUAGAAGGUCCAAAUCUGAGUUGGUGACCGUUUUACUGAACACGGGUCAAACCCACUCGAAACUAUAAUUCUCCUGAACGUGGAUCUGAAACUGAUUCUUUUUCUCUCUCUUUUUUUUCAUUUUUUUUCCUUUUUUUUCCUUCCUUUUCUUUGCUUUUUUUUCACAACUUUCCGAACAACUUGAUCUCUAAACAAAAUUCGAUCUAUUAUGAAACACUUUCCAAAAGCACUCUCGAUUGGACUCGGACUCGAACCCGGAGAAGGACUCGGUGUAUGACUCGAUGGAAGAUUAUGGCGUGGCGGUGGUGUGGCAGGGAGUUUGGCGGCAGAAAAUUGAGGAAGGAAACCUGCGUCACACGAAGAACAAGAAAACCAAAAGCAAGUUCGAUCUAGUAGAAAAAGUCUGAAAAACGAUCCAAUCUAAUCCAGCAACUCGACACGAUUAAUGCAGCAAAGGUUCAACAAUGCAAAUACUAAUGUGAAAAUUGCAAGGCUCAGAUUGGUUUUUGGGACGAAGGUAAGUAAUCUCUACUUUUUUAUUGUCUUUUUCUGGACUAUAGGUAAAACAUAUCUAAACUAUGGAAAAAUACCACGUGAUGUGGGUCGGGGUGGCCCGAUAUUUCGAUGAGAUUGAUAACUCUCGAUUUGGGUAGGAGGUGACGUUGACGAUCCGACUACGGCCUUGAAAGCAGCGUCUUAGCAAUCGAUACACCAACUCCAGAGGGUUAUUGAUCACGCGGGGGCACGAUCAACCUGACCACAAAGGUCUUUGUUCCUACAAGCAAACGAAGAACAAGCAAGAACAAGAUAAAUAUCGGAUGCAAUCUGAAAUUGCGAAUAUACUAUAUCAAACCAAUGUCUCAACGAGACGAUAAGUUGGGGUUCCGAAAGCGGUAAAGCAGGUGGUCUAGCCGACACACGCGAUUACACGAAGUUGUAGCGAUGGCUAACUUUUAACUAAACAAACCCAAGUCUUCAUAGGGGGGCUAGUGGGGUAUAUAAAGGAGGAGGGAGAGAGAUUUUCGUCCACCUUGAGUAAGGAGGCCGAAAUCCAACUGUAUCUCUAACUUUCCUAACAAACUACAACUCUUUAGGAAACGGAAAAACAGAUCCGUCAGCUUGUUUUGUCCGCCACGGCCAGCACGCGUCGAAUCUCUUGUGGGGCCAGAUCUUUUGGAAAGUUCUUGUAAUUACCUUUCCAACAAGUACUUGUUUGCUUGAUUUGAACUCCGAAUGCGGCCUGGGUUAUUAAAACAAAUUCGGGUCUCCUGACAGCUCGGACCCGAAUCGGAUUCAACUUUAAUUCGUGAUAUCUUUCUCUAGCAAGGUCCGAAUCAUGUGCUGUUCGAUUUGUUGGAAAGUAGACUUGAUAGGCUUCACCUUGCAUCUCCCGUUGCAUGCUAUCGCACCUCAUCUUCACUUUGGACUGGAAAAGCUCGAUCAAAUACUUACAUAAUAAAAUGAUACAAGAUAGUAGCUUUGCCUCUUCAUGCAUAUGACAUUGGAAACAAAUAGUACUUGACUUCACCUGAUUAUAAAUAUUAUCGAAUACUCUAGAAUUGAGGGUGCCAAAGGUCGUAUCCAUGGUUAGCAUGUACAUACCAGGCUUGCAGUACGAUGCCCGGAGCUGGGGGAGAUGGCGCUGCACAUGUCGUAUCUGAAGGAGGCGGCGAUUGAGGUGAAGAAGACGGUGGGGGAUGAGACGGUGACAGAUGGGGAAGAGAGGUAGAUGAGGGCGAUGAAGGGAAUAUGCCCUAGAGGCAAUAAUAUUGUAUUAUUAUAUUCCCAAGUUUGUAAUUGAUGUUUAUAUUUCUAUGCUAUAAUUGCAAUGGUUCUUGAACGUGAGAUUCGGAGGAAAACUCAUUUGCAUGUGUGGAAACAUAAACCCUAAUUUAAAGGUCCCUAGUCACGCCUCUUUGACUAGCUUAUAUAUAAUUGAUGAUUCUGUUUUCCUGAUCAUGAGCAUACGAUGCUGGUUAUAUAUGAGAGCACAUUGUUGGUUGAACAAUGGUGUUGGAUUGACCCAACUAAUGAUAUACCGAGAGAUCACAUCGAUUACUUGUUAUCGGUAUUAUUGUUAUUGUUGUAAUUAUCAUUAUCCUUAGACCAUGAAAAUAUCGUAUGAUAUUUAUAUCGGAAGGAUAAUUUGGGUGUUACUUAUUGUUUCCCGUAAUAGGGUUAUCAUGACGGUGAUUUCCGGGUACUCCGGAAAGUACGAAUUGAUUCGAUAGUUCAAGAUUGGGAUUUGCUCCUCUAUCGGUGGAGAGAUACACUAGGGCCCACUCGGUACGAAGAUAUCUAUCACCGUCUGGCCAGACACAAGAAUGAUAUGAUCAUUGAGAUAUCGGAGUACGGAAUGAGUUAAAAGUACAAAACCGGUAACGGGGAUAGCUAGGUACAAGUGGAACAAGGGUUGGUUCACGGGCGUACCGGAAGUCUCACCCCGGGUUUUGUAAACGUAUCGUGAAGCAAAGGGAAAUGGUUUUUAGUAACAAAUGGUUCACUUGAAAGUCUUCGUGUAUGUGUAGUAAUUAUUGAGAGUGUCCAGGCUCUUUAAAUAAUUAUUGACUGGGUCAUAGCUACACAUUUCCCAACCUAGGCGGUCAGACGCUUAACGACGAAUGGUUAUUUGAAGGUCUAAAGUUUGGAAUUUGGUCAAGAGUUGAAUACUGAAGUUGUUCAGAAUGACGAGACAUAUUUUAUGGAGGUCCUAAAUGUGAUUUAGGAGUUACAGAAAUAUUCGGAGUAAUCAUGAGUGCUUCCGGAAGGUUUUAGAAGCCUCUAGAAGGAUCCGAUGGAAAUUCCGGAAGGUCAAAUGGCAAAAGGUCAAAAGUCAAAGGUGGGUCAAACCCUGGUCAAAGGUUGACCAUGGGGGCCAGCCAUCUUGGUUUGGAGAAGGGGUUAUAAGACUCCUAUUAGGAGUUCAUAUCUAUUCCUAUUAGAGGUAGGCGUGCUACUCUUUUUGGAGGAGGACUCUUUUCGUCCUUUGGCCGGACGCCCUCCUAUAUAAGGAGGGGAGGGGUGGCCGGUUAUAGGGGCACUCUCGCUAGUUGUCCUUUGCCCGUCAAGUUCGAGCUCUCUCAUCUAAAGUUUAGACGUCUAAUUAGUAAAUCGUCUACUUUCCGAUCUAGUUUCUUCCAGCGGUUCUUCGUACUGGACGUGAAAGUGCUGCUGAACUAUUCCUCCGGGACGUGUGGAUACGUGUGGAGAGAUCGCCCACUUCGAUCUUGCAGGCGGAUCGCUGUUCGUCUACUUCAAGCUUUCAGGCGCAGCAGAUCGUGCGAGGAAUAUUCUCACGGCUGGGCGGUAUAACCUAACUGCGGGAAUCUGCUACAGGCUUCAACGACAAUCUAUUUCCGCUAUGGUUUUUUGGUAGAUGAUCAAUCUAUCGCAUCCGCAUAGUGAUCUUGAUUGGUUCGUUCGUAGGAAAAUUUUAAUUUUCUGCCUACGUUCCCUUUCAGGCGAAUGGAGGCGGUGGAGGGACCCGAGACGUGGGGUGGGCGGCCUGCUGUGCGUAUUUUAUUUAUUUUCUUUACUACUACUACUACUUAAGCCACAGUUAUGUCCGUGGUUUACCGUAAGUCCUCCCACCCCCCACAGAAAAAAAAGUCCUGAAAAAAUCCGGUCCCCCCACCCCUUCUGAGGAAACAUUCGCCCAGAAGGAAAUAUUCAAUCAACCAUCAAUUGAUUGAGUUCAAAAGAUGACCCAACGCAUUAGGCAACUCUUGGAGAGAUUUCAGGAGAGUAUGGAAAGAUUGUUAGGAGUUGGCCGAGUUGUGGGAGUGAUUUCAGGAAAGGACAUCUUGGUUAGUUGCACGUAUAGCGUGAGUUUAGGGGCUAACGGUCUGAGAUUGGCUGUUAUUUAUGGCAUGCUUUGUAAUCUUGUUUUUGGAAACAGAAAGAGGAAUAGGAAAGGAGAAAAUCUCGGGCUGUGAGAGGCAGCCUCGAGGCCCAAACCUUGCCUUCCUUAUGUUCGUGGUGUUGCCAAGAAAAGAGAUAUCGUGAGAGAGGGAGCUGCAGCGACAGAGAAGAAGAACUGGAGUUGCAGAUUCCUGCCGCGGCAGGAAAUAUUCUGCCGCGGAAGAAAAUCUGCAGGCUGGAGCUGCGUGAGGUAGACGGGGAAGAAGAAGGGGAGCAGCAGCGGCUAGCUGCUCCAACAUAGCCUUAUCAGUUGCCGGGUAUUAACUGGACAAUUCCUAAUCAUGCUUCAUGAAACGGUGCUAAAACAUUGUCCUGUGUCGCAAGUCCCAACAAUCCUAAUGGAUUUCAUUCUGCCGAGUCAUUAAAGGUCUGUGCUUGUUACUCCUAAUUCUGAUCAUAGUUAUUGUAACGUGCUUCUAUCUAGAAGCCGAUGUACACCUAUCAUGUUUGUCAGUUAUAACUUUGUAUGCUUUAAGAAGAUCUAUUUUGUACUUUGGGCUAGGUAUUUUCUACUUCGUAUGCUUCAAGGAAGGUAACUGACUGAGAUGAGAUGCAUAGUUGUUGCCAGAGAGAAGGGACGUUAGCACGUGGCAAACGUGGUUAGCAAUAAAAAUGCAAUCAGAGAGAAGGGAAGUUGGAGAAUGAAACAAAUAUUUAUUGUGAUAGGUUAAAAGUUAUACACAAUUAGUGUACAUAUUUAUUUUUAUUUAUUUAUUAUUUUUCGUUGCAACGCACGGGUACUUUGGCUAGUAUAUUUAUUUGGAGAACAUCCGUAUUUUAUUUGGUGGGCGAUGGAACAAGACAGACAUGUACCAUGCCUUCUUGGUUUUGAGUUGGUCCAGAAACAUCUCACAAAUGGUCCAACAACCCAACACAAAUGACCUAGUAUUACUCACUGUUCUAUACCAAUAGUGGGCCAAAAAGCGGAAAUUCCAUUUGGGUCCUGGGACCCCCUCCCUAUCUCCAUCAUUCCGCCGAUGUUUGAUGUUUGCUUUUAGACCCUGUUUGUUUGGGCCCUGAUGGUCGCCCUUUGCGUAUUUGUGAAAUCAUAGGUGAUGUGUAACAUUGGUAAGUAUUUUAGAUGAAACAUUGAUGUGGAUACUUUGGCUAAUAUGGAUUGACGAAGAUGUAACUUCGACAAUGUCCAUAUUGAUGGACUUGUAUCAAGGAAAGAGGAGUGUGUGUUGGCGAACUCGUCGGCUAACAAGGACACAGGGGACACGAUUUACCCAGGUUCAGAGCCCUCGAUGAGGUAAUACCCCUACGUCCUGCUUGUCGGAUCUGUAUUGAUGAGUCGAUUACAAUAGGGUGCCGCAGAGUCUAGACGCACCGAGUCGUCGAGUGCGUCCAGGCGACUUGUAUCUAAGCUCGGGGGGUGUCCUCUUGGCUCCCCCUCCUGGUCCUUUAUAUAUGCAGGAACUCACAUCCGAGGUAGAGUCCAAGUAGGUUACAAUGAAAAGACAUACUCUAAUUAUUCUUCCUUAUCUUGAGUCGCAAGAUUUGGCAUGUAAACUCCUGGAGUCGAAGUAGGCUUCCUUGUGGGCCCCUAGCUGGGCUGUAUCGGGUAUACUCGAGUCGAGUACGUGGUUAGUCAUAACCACGUCAUGGAUACUUAUGUGAUGACAUGUAUCUUGUUUGGACUUAGUGGUUUGCUAUUGGUGUGUUGAUCCAUUAGUUUCUUAUGUAAAAACAUGGCGUGAGUUGUGUUGAAACUUACCUUGAGUGAAGUCGUGGACUUGUGCUCGUACUGGUUAUUUGUGUGUUCACUUUCAGGUGUUGCCGGAGCUAGAAGAACAUGGUCGGUGAUGGGAUCGAGGGACGAAGCUUGGGAGAAGCUGAGGUCAAGGGAUCAAAGUCAUGCGAGACGUUCAUGUGAAGGAACAAUGGAAGUGAAAUAUACGAUGAUUCGGGAGGGCACCGGUUUGUCGUAUGUUGUUUAUACCGGAGAUGUAUGGUAUUGUAGAUAUUUGACACGUGAUGGUCGAGUUUUGAAGACAUCACAAGAAGAGUCAAGGAGUCCAAACAAGACCAGAUGUUCCCUAUUGUUAUCGGGAACGAGACUAAAUGUUCGGCCUUAAUGAGAUGGACCUUGAUUCCUCUCCGGCCAGGAAAAGAUGCGGCUCCUCUUUGUUUUGUUCUACUACCUUCAUCCUCGGGUGAAGCCGGUUGGCUCACCAAACAAGAGGCCUACUGUUAAAUCAUUGGUAACCAUGCCUAACGGUCGGUCCUCUAAGCUAUCGGCCAAGGCAAGUGAGAGCUGUUCAAGAGUUGGGGGCAUAUCUUUAGCUCGAGUAGCAUUCGCUCCCAAAAUGUGUGGCAUCGACGUGAAGACAUGUAGGUCCAGCCGUGGCUGGAUGAGAGCUGUUUAAAGACUAAACAAUAGUGUCAUGAAUAUGGCGUCCGAUGGAAAAGUGGUCCAUAUGGAAGUUGUGCGCGUCGUGACGCUGUGUGAAUGCUUUCUUUUGGCCUACGGGCUCCUACCUCCACAUCGCGUGCUUCGUGACGCUGUGUGAAUGCUUUCUUGGAAUAAAUCCCCAUAUGGGUCUUUGGAAGAGAAUGUUCACCAUCAAGCGCCAAGGCAAGGAUGCGAUUGGAUGGGUGAAUAUUCAAACUCAUGCGGAUGCCAAAUUCUUCAACCUCCGAGAGAGGGCAUCAUCUUCUCGAUGGAAAUCGAGGUGGUUCUUUGUCAUGGAUGUGCCGGCCGAAGGACGCGACUUCAGUCUUCCCGAAUUCUCCGUGACCACGUCGGUGAAGAAGACGAUGGCCUGGAGUCAUAAAUUGGGAGGAACAGAGGGUGAAGAAGCCGAGACUCUAUUGGCCCGAGUUCUGUCUCUCAUGGAGACUCCUCAGUUGAAGGUGACUAGAAUUCACCUCAUUGCCGCUUUUAUCCGGAGAAGAAUUCAGCCUCUGCAGGCUCGUGCUCAUCCCAUGUGGGCAUAUCGGGGGGGUUCAUGACUCGACCCGAUUUAGUACCGAGGAAUUUCGUUCGACUGAAGUGUGUCGACGAGUUCGGCGACUUACUAACUUGGACGAGUCGGAGCCCUGCGAGAUUGACCCUCCAGUGGCUCCCUAUGGGCCUGACAGGUCCCUAGAAAAGAUGACCACCGAAGCGUCUGACAAGCCCUGCUGUUUUUUGGCAUGAAUUAUUUCUGAUCAUGGUUUUGAUUUUAGGGACCCGAUAAUGAUCUAAGCGGCGCUUCCCCACCGGCAAAGAAGCGCGGCAGAGGAAAAUGACUUGUCGGUACAGACCCAAAUGAUAAGCUUGAGGGACCCGAACGUCGGGCCGUCAGUGUCUGUACCUGCGCUCAAGAGAACCAAGUCCGACGGGCCAAUCGCGACUCUCGCUUUGGUCUUUUUGCAUGACUCAACCGUGCCAGGUGAAUCUUUUAGCCAUCUUACUUCAGUAUCCUAGAGAUUUUGACUGAACCUCUAAAAACUUCUUGAUUAGCCAUACUAGUGGCUCAGUUGAGAGCAAAAAGGCUCCCUGGACUCAAUCGACUGGUCAGGACUUGAAAGGGUCGGACCAGCCGACUAAACAAAAGACAGCCCAUACCAAGGAGGCUUCGGCGGCUAAUCCGAGCAGAGGAAGUCGACCAGAUGAGUCGAGCGUUCCUCAGGCGACGGUUCCUGCGUCGAGUCGACACGUGAGCAAAUUUGUCAUUUGCUAUUACCUGCCUCCCGGUGGGAGUGACACUCAAGAAAUGACUUGAGAUUGCUUUUUUGUUUGUAGCCAAUCAUCCGCUCCAUGGCAACUCUUAUUGAAGAGUUUGAGGAGACGAAAGCAGAUCGGGAGCGACUUCGAGAAGAGCUGAGUCAAUGAAGCGAUCCUCCCCCUUACAAGGGUUCGAUCUCUGUGCUUACCGUGCUAGUCCCUGGAUCGACUCACUAGCACACACAGUUUCAUGAUGAAAUAUACAGAAACAAAGGUCAAAAGUACUUUAUUACAUCGCAUCAUUCAGAAUUUAAAUAGUACUUACAACCUCGCAUGACCUCUUGGCCAGCAUAAAACAAAUACUGUUUCAUCAUCAUAAAACAAUGUUUCAAAACUGCAGCGGAAAAGGGUAGAACAAAAGGGCCUCAACUACUCCAAGGUGAGAGCAUGUUGGAAUGUAAGCACAUGACCCAUGACAAAACGACGAACCUCACUCAUCGUCGGAUCCACCUGCAUUGUAAUUGCAGCCACUACGUGGUCAAUACAUUUGAAUGUAUUGGCAAGUUCACCAGAGUUAUAAAGGACCUACCAAGUAUAUGCAUAAUUUGGCUAGGUGGAGUUUGGCUGUUUGCAUAAAAGCAUCAUAGUUCAAUCCUAUCAUUUUUAAACAAUUAGUUUUGAAUUCUAUUGGACACGGGAUAGAAACACCCAUGCUCCUAUUAACCUAGGCACAUUGAGUAGAAACAUCAAUGCUCCUACCCAGUUCAAACCAUUCUUUUUAUUAGGAAAUUGGAAUGAGUGAGACCUUUCUUACAGCCCCAAUAUCUAGUUGCUCAUAAUUGUCCGUAACCGGGGACACGGCUAAGUACUUAGUUUGACACUCUCGAGAGGUUGUACACAUUCCCCACAAGAAAUCGACGUGUUAAUCCCUUGCUGUCCUCAGGGUAGAGUAGCAACGGCAUCGACUACAGGAUUUUUCAGAACAUAAUCUCCCAGACCACCUGAUGGACGCGCCCCCACCUACACUGCUACAUACCGAUGUCACCUCGGAUCCGGGUUCAUAUUUCUUACAUCCAUCCUGGCAGAGCCCAUAAUACCAUGUGGUUGUACUGGAAUCUACUAAACAAGAAACUAGUCCAGUCUCUGGUUACCCCGGGUGGCAUUCCUCAGUUGCAACGCAGGCGCUCCCAUAGAAAUGGUGAGACGACUCAUAGAAAUGGACCCAUAGAAAUGGACCUGACGUCGCAUACAUCUCCACUUCCUCAAAGCAGCCCACCCAGGACGGUUUAUUGAAUUACUUGUUUUGCCGUACACUAGGAAAACCAUAUUGUAAUUCAAUAGUAUCACAUUGUAAUAAUACCACCCUCGUAUAUUAUCAUAUCCUAGCAUUUUACUACCACGAUGGCAAUUGGUGGUGGGAACAUGGCAAAGGUAUUCUACACUAUUAGGAGAAUCAUAGCAUAGCAUAGAUACAAUAAUAAUCCUAACAAUGCAACUAAUAAAAUCUAGUGCAUAAUAAAGUAAUACGUGAAUGAUCAAAGUGAACUUGCCUUGAUAGUAGUUGGUAUUCAAACACUCUUCGCAAUCACACAGUUCGUUCUCCAAGAAAACUAAUCAAAUACAAACAUUGCAUACAUAAGCACACAAUACAAUCAAGAGUAAAAAAGUAUGCCAUGAUGCAAUGUAAAACAUGUGACAUGAGCUUGGUUUAUUUUAUUUGAGUGAUCUACUGAUCCUAAGCAUAAGUAAUUAAAACAAAUGCAUUAGCGUUUUAAAUAGAAAGGCAAAGGCUAGGGUUUAAACCCUGAAAUAAGGUUUUAUUUGCGUCUGCAAAGAAAUUUAAUUCAAAAUAUUUAUUUCUCUGUCUUUAUGGACAGAGGAUAAUAAAAUAAAAUUUUGGGCACUGGUUUCAUUCAAAAAGGACUUCUAAAUAAUUAGUUAUGAUUUAAAUAGUAUUAUACCUUAUUCUGUAAUUUGAAUGUGAUUCAAAUUUUCAAAUUUAAAAAUGGACAGUGCCAAAAGAUUCUACACUUCCUAAGGAUUUCAAAAAGGUGUGGAUCAUCAAAUUUGGCCAAACAGAUUAAAAGAUAUGAUCAUUUGAAGUUAGAGGGGCUUUUCUGCAAAAGUGCCAUUUCUAAUUAUUCCGGGAAUUAAAAUUAGAUUUUCGUUUUAUAAAAUAGGUGCCACAUGUCACGUUCUCAUUGGUGCGUACCGGUUCGGUUAAAAAUAAACACGGGAUCUAAUCCUAGCCCUCGGAUCUGGAUCGGACGGACGGGGCGGGCUAGGGUUUACCUCCGUGGCGGCGGCGGUCGCCGGAGACGAGGGAGACGGCGGCGCGGGCACGGGCGGGCGGCUCCUCCGGUGAAGUUGACGGCGCGGGGAGGUGCUGGGUCGACACGGCGCGGUACGGCGAAGUCGGGGGCGAGGUCGGCGCUCCUCGGGGUCGUCGGGGUGCUCGCCUAGGAUGGCGCGGAGACAGCGGCGAGCGGCGGACGGCUCCGGAUCUUCGGCUUGACGACGGCGAGGCGCUGCGGCGCGCAAAAAGGAGAAACGGACGCAUCAAAAGAUGCGCAAGGACGAAGGAAAGCGAACGGCUAGAAAUGGGCAGAGUUUUGACCUUAGGGUUCACCGGCGGCGACCAAAACGUGCGGCGGCGAGCGACGAGCUCCGGCGAGCGAUUCCGGCGGAGUGGGCGCGUGAGAGAGAGGGGAACGAAGGGGGAAGAAGAGAGGGGGGCGGGGGGCAGAGCUUUAUGUUGACGCGCUCGGGGCUGCGAAAUAUGGACGGAGCGCAGAGAUCUCGGCGGAGACGGCACGCGGUGGCGAAGAAGGAAAGCGGCGGUGGACGCGGGCGCUUUCCAUCGGGAACGAAGACCCUGACGCGUGGGUCCCACGCGUCAGUGGCAGCGGGCACGCGCGCGUGCGGCGGGGCCAGUCUGGCUCGGUCGGGCGCGGUCGGAGGGGGCUGGUCCGGCCCAUUUUGGCGGGGCCGGUCCGGUUUUCUCUUUAUUUUUCUUUUAGCCCUUUUGUUUUUUCUGUUUUUCCUAUUUCUUUGAUAUCUUUUGAUUUUUACUCCAAAUUGGUCCAAAUAAAUUCUAGAAAAUUUCUAAAAUCAUGUUCUAUCAUGAUUCAACUUUUGGGAGUAAUUUCCCUUCAAAAUAAAAUACCUAAAAAUACAUUUUCCCUAUAAAUGCCUUUAGGGCUAUAUAACUAUUUAAAUAAAAUAGUUUUUCAACUCCAAAUAAUUGUCCAAAAAUUAUGGAAUAGCUCAUUUAUGCAAUAAACCCCUUUUAUAAAUAAACCUUAUUGGUUUAAAGAUUCAAAGCUCAAAUGGGUGUAAACCCUAGGGUUUAAAUUGAAAUAAAAACUUUUAAAGCCUUUUGAGAUUCAAAUUUGAAUUCAAACGUGCAAUUGUGGCAUGAUGCUUAUGAAUGCAAUGCAUAUGAAAGGAUUUGAAAUUUUGGGAUGUUACAGUCAAUGUCGCCAAGAGCUGCAGGACGUGGCCGCCGAAAAGAGUCGUCUUCAGGAACGUAUAGACUCCCGUAUUUCCGCAGAGAAAGAGCGGGAGAAGGUUUGGAUCGAGCGACUCGAAAGUGCUACUCACUCAGUUGCUGGUGAGCGCUUGAACCUGUUAUUCGAGUGGCUUUUCCUUCUCGUGGAAAAUUUUGACCGUUUCUCUGUCCUUUUGCAGGAGUCCUUGAUGCUUCCGCAUAGGUCCAAUUCAAAGAGAGAAGCCGAAGCUUCAAUGAUGUUUUAGAAAAUGUUGAAGUCAUCAAUGAUGAAGCCAAGGGCAAGCUCCGGCAAGCGACAAAGAUUCUGACCACCGUAAUCAGGAAGAUGACUCCUGAUGGGUCAGUGCCGGAGUCGCUGAAUGGGCUUAUUGAAUUUUUUGCAGCGAGUCAUGACCCGGUAGGGGAGUACUACUGAUGCUGAGCUAUUCUUUACGCUUGCUCUUGCGCAUGGCAUUGAGGAAGACGCUCUCCAUCGAGUAACCUCUCGAUCGAGAGCAGGUGACUCGGUCAACCUAGGGCCCCUUAUGGGAAAGGGCAAAGAGCUGGCUGAGAUCUCGUUGCGGCAGCCACGUAGAUCAAUUGAGGAGAUGAACCUAGCUUCAUCCAGCGGCCCAGAGGUGGGUGAUCUUUCACUAGAUAUAUUUGAUUCUCUUUCUCCUUUGUGAAUCUUCUUCUUCUGUUCUUAUACCUUUGUAAAGAACUGCUCUAGCUGAGCCCUUUUUGGAAAGAAAUCAAAAAAUCUUUAUUUCCAUCCCGAAAGGGGUUCUUCAGGAUAAAUGCUGAGGUAACUUGUGUCUUUUCCGCGCAGAGGGAAAAAGGACCAUCGAGUCACUCGAUUCCAGGUGCAGCGGCAACCUCUCGCAACGAUGCUCCAGCCGAUCCUAGCGGAAAAGGUCAGGCUGGGUCGGCUUUGUGCCCAGAGCAGUUACGAGAAAUUGAGGCUCGAUUCACUAAAUUGAAGCGUGACACGCUGGGUGACGCUCAGAGUAGCAAAUCUAGCCUGAAAGCUGCGACCAACCGGGAAGAGUUUGUCUUUGGAGAGCUUCGCAGCCUGAGCAGCCAAAUCCAAGGUAAGGAUCGCAAGACUUUGCCUUUCGAGUCGGUCUGCAAAGUGAUCUUACCGUCUUCUGUGCAGUUGUUCGCUUUGACCCUGACGAUGAAAAGGCCAAAGUGAAUACCGCCAUUCAAGCUCGCAGAGUGCAUGAUCCAUCAUCCUUUUCGCUGGAUCAGUCAAGGAGCUACGACUUGAUGCUGUUGAUCGAGCGGAUCAAGCAGGUCAAAAGGUACUUGACCUCCUGCCGUGACAUGCUAGCUUCGACACAUCUGGCCUUAUGGCCACAGGAGAAGGUGCCUCGUAAACCGGGCAGCCUGAUGGUGAAGUUUCACGACGAGGAGAAGAUGAAGGAGCUGGUUCGACUCUAGCUGGUGAGGGGUGCCCAGAUUGCCCUCGCAUUUGUGCGAGUCAACUGCCCAGAGUUGGAUUUCUGGCAAAUUGCUACAUUGCCAGUUACUCUCACCCAGGGUAUAAAGUCAUUCCUGGAGGCUGGGCAGGCGGCGGCGCUGUAGAUGAUCCAGCAAUGGGAGGCAGCUGAGGAGGAGACCCUGCCUGUCGUAGGUAGUCAUGUAGUUUUUUUCCUCUCUUUUUUUGUAACGACUAGUCUACCGGGUGCGCGAUCAGCGCUCCCGGUGGGAGUAGCCCCCGAGUGCGGUUGCAACUGUGUGUAGUGGCGACCGGACUCAAGGUUGUAAUGUGAUAUCCUUGAGCAAUGUUGCACCCCUUCUUUUUUUGGAAUGGAGCGCCCUGACUUGCCAAUUAGCGCCGAGUCGAAUUCCGACUUGUGGAAGUCGAAUUUGAGUCGGAUUUGAAGUACUCCUGGUGGGAGUGCCUCGCAGUCGAAUAUAAAUAGCCGAGUGCAGACUCGAACGUACUAGCCAGCGCAAGGGAUUUGUCCUGCUGAUUAGCACUUGGGCCUUGGAAGAAGAUAUGGAUUCCUCCGAUGCACUCGAGGUUAUGCAUAUCCGUUUGGGACAUGUGAGGAAUACCACCUCGCGCAGGCAUGGGAGGAGAUUUCCUUGCUCAAGUCGGAGAAUCGGGCCGCAUCGGGUCGAGAGGAUUUAAUUUCCUCAGGGAAAAUGUGAAGGUUGAAGCUGAAUGUGUAAAGAGUCGUCUUGAUGCUUUAGCACGAUCUGGUUCGGAGAACCCAUCCUUCUAGUCAAAACCGCGACAAGGGUUAUGCCCUUGCGCUUCUGCAAGAUCGAGUUGCAAGAGCAGUGAUCUGCCUGAAGUCCUGCAGUCACUGUUUGACAGAGGUUCACCAUAACUUGUUUCCGGAGCUUCGUGUCCCUGUUGACCUGAAGGGAUUAAUCGAGAGAUUUUGUGAAGGAGCAGUAGUGAGGGGGGCUACUCAUGAACAAUUGGUGGAGGGUGUUGUGCUGGCUCUCUCGUUUGUUCGUUUUCGCUACCCCUCAUUGAAUCUGGACUCCCUGCAUUUGACUCCCUCUUACAUUCCAGACGAUGCUCAGCUUGGACCGAUUUACGACAUGAUGGAGAACACGACAUGUCAGCUGGUGACUCUUAUGGCCUUGGAGUAGAGUAGGCUUUGAUACUCGUUUAAAUAUGUAGGCGUAGUUGUCUGAGUAGUAUUUUUACCGGGUGCGCGACCAGCGCUCCCGGUGGGAGUAGCCCUCGGGUCUGUGCAUGACUGGUUUGCAGUCAUGUGGAGACCCAAAUACUUUGAAAUCUUUUGUAAUUGAAAACUGUUAGCAUCGUUGAAGAUGCCGCACCUUCUUGUUCUGUACUUCCAUUGAUCUUGUAUGAGAAAACAUUAUGAUUCCAAUUUUGCUUGCUUGGAAACUGCCGACCAUUGAAUGAUUGUGCUGAUGUUUGUUUACGCGAUAGCCCGUGAAUGCCGGCUGCAUACAACGAGAGUUUUUUAAAGUCGAUUGAACGCAGCCUCCGAGCGUGGGGUGCGACCAAUGACAAUGUCUGCGGUCGACGGGACACAGCCCCCGAGUGUCGAGUGUGUCCAAUGAUAAGUUUGGGUCGAUUGGACGCAGCCCCCGAGUGUCGGGUGCGUCCAAUGACAGUUUAGGUCGAUUGGACGCAGUCCCCGAGUGUCGGGUACGUCCAAUGACAAGUUUGGGUCGAUUGGACGUGUAACAUACCGGUUCUCGGCAUUUCCAAAAUCUAUUUCCUAAAAAUGACUACUUGAAAAUUUCGCUGAAUUAAACAAAGCUUAACUGGAAAUUUCUUGAAUCUUUGGUUCUAAAUUGAAUUUACACCGACUAAAUAUGAAUUUGAUUUAUACACUUUCUCAUUUGGUUUGCUUAUAUUUUAUUUGGAUUCUCCAUGUUCAAAUAUGCACUUUUAAAUCUCUCUGGAAUUCAUCUCGAAGUUGAUUUGAUGUUUGAGAAGUUCAUUCGAUCUCUUAGCUUCUGUAAAAAUAAAAAAGCAUUUCCUCUUUCUUUUUAGCUUUGGCUGAAAUCCCCAGCCGCAACCCAUCUUCCUUCUCUCUCCCGUAGCCCACUUCUGGCCGAACUGCUCCAGACUACCGUGCCUUGCUUCUAUUUUCUCCCGCGUGUGUUUAAUCUCCAGAGGACGAAGGAGAACUGCCAUCUCCUCGACGCCAGUGUAACUCGAGCUACCUAGAACGAUCGUAUUCAGAGGGAGCUCACGCGAGGAAGACAAGAGUUUUUGCGCUGCUCAAACUUCCGCAGCUUUUCUGGCAUUUUUCAUUCCCCUUUUUAUUCAGACGUUACAUGCAAAACAGAAAAUGGGGAGAGCAAGCCGCGCCAUGAUCCGCUGAUCCCGCGCCAUCCCACGGCCGAGUCAUGGCGCACAUCCCGCUCCUCCACAACGGCCACACUAUAGGCACGCCCAUGCAAACGUACGCAGACAUGCUGGGACGUGUUAUGCUAACAGAAAACAAACUAACAACUGAAAGCAAAGAUGUUUAACAUGCACGAGUUUACUAACAAAACACUCCCUAAACUCGUGCACCUACUUUAUUUGGAUCAUACCAAUCUUCGAGCGCAAUUCCUGGAAUCUGACGCGGCCAAGGGACUUGGUCAGGAUAUCAGAGAGCUGCGCCUCAGUUCGGAUGAACUCCACUUCAGCCUGGCCUUUCUCAACGCACUCCCGUAUGAAGUGAAAUCGAGUGUCGAUGUGUUUGCUCCUGUCGUGGAACACAGUAUUCCGGCUGAGAGAGAUCGCCGACUUGUUGUCGACGAACAACUUGAUGCAGGCCGCCUCUUCCUUCUUCAGUUCACCGAAAAGACGAGCUAGCCACACUCCCUGAGAGACAGCAGUGGUCACCGCAAUGUAUUCGGCUUCACAAGAUGAGAGCGCCACCACCUUCUGCUUGGUUGACUGCCAGGUAAUCGGACUUGUUCCGAGGAAGAAGAGGACGCCGUGGUGCUUUUGCGGUCGUCUAUGUCGCCAGCCAAGUUGCUGUCGCUGUAACCGACAAGGUUGGCGUCGCCGUUUGCUCCUCGUGCAAACUUGCAGCCAUAGUUCAGGGUCCCCGCGACGUAGCGAAGUAUGUGCUUCACUGCUGCAAGGUGCUUGACAGUAGGGGACUCCAUGAAUCUGCUCACAUAGCCCACCGAGAAAGUGAUAUCCGGCCGGGUGUGAACCAGGUACCUGAGGCACCCCACGAUGCUCCUAUAUUCAGAAGCAUCCGUUGGCUCUGCUGAACUAGCUUUGCUCAGCUUGAGGCGUGUUUCCAUCGGCGUCUGACAAGAAUUACAGCCCGUCAUCCCACUGCGCUCAAGGAUCUUCACGGCGUAUGAGGACUGACAGAUGGUGAUGCCGGCAGCGUCUUGCUGCACUUCAAUGCCAAGAUAGAAACUGAGUGGCCCAAGGUCACUCAUCUCAAACAGCUGCUUCAUUUCUGCUUUGAACAACUGCAGCUCUUGCUCGUUGGCUCUAGUAAUGAUCAGGUCGUCCACGUAAACUCCGACCAAAACUCUGGCUUUGUCUUCACCUCUGGUAUAGACAGCAUGCUCCAGCUUGCUGCGAACAAAGCCAAUUGACGUAAGGCAAUGAUCCAGCUUUGCAUUCCAUGCCCUAGGAGCCUGUUUUAGACCAUAUAAGGCCUUCCGAAGCUUGAACACCUUGUGCUCUUGCCCUUUCACCUCGAAGCCCGGUGGCUGAGCAACAAACACCGUCUCCUCUAGUUCACCAUUGAGGAAGGCGGACUUCACGUCCGUGUGGUGCACAGUCCACCCGGCAUGCGCCGGGAGAGCAAGCAGCAGCCGGAUGGAGUCCAGAUGAGCGACCGGCACGAACACUUCGUCAUAGUCCACGCCAUGCCGCUGCACGUAGCCCUUUGCGACAAGACGGGCUUUGUGCUUGGCCACCUUGCCGCGAGAGUCUUUUUUCACCUUGUACACCCACUUCAAUCCUAUAGGACGUUGUCCUUCCGGCAGCGAGACCAAUUCCCAAGUAUCAUUGGCCUCAAUAGAAUGCAUUUCCUCCAUUGCUUUGCGCCACCACGCAUACUGGAUGGCAUCACGGUGGCUCGUUGGUUCUUCGUUGAUGAGGAGAUUCAGCAGCGGGGCCGCACCGGCAUCAAGCACAUUCCUGACAGUGCGAUACCGAUGAGGCACAUGAGCGUCGUCGUCGUUGUCGAACAGCUCUGGUUCCACCGUGGGUGGAGAGACAAGCUCGAAUCCCACAGUGGGCGAUUCAGCAGGCGUUGCUGGUGUUGCGGGCGUUGCUGGAGUCAUGGGCGCUGGACUGGAGUCGUUCGUGUUGUCGGCCGGAACUGGAGAUAAUGCCGCCUGCGUCGCGGCCGGGUGCAGCACAUACUCAACAGUAAAAUAAUCUGUCGACAAACCAGAGUCGUUAUUGCUGCCGUCUGCGUCCCAGUUCCAUGCCGCAGACUCGUCGAACACCACGUCACGAGUGACAUGGAUGCGCCUCGCCACGGGAUCAAACAUUUGGUAGGCCUUGAUCCCAGGCUCGUAGCCGAACAUGACCAUCUUGCGGCUCCUGUCGUCCAGCUUCUUGACAUUGGGGCUCACCAUUUUGACAUGGCCGAUGCAGCCAAAAGUGCGGAGAUAGUGCACAUUCGGCUGCCAUCCAUGCCACGCCUCGAACGGGGUCUUGCCCUCAACGCUGGCCGUCGGCAAACGGUUCAGCAGGUACACUGCCGUGGUGACUGCCUCGCCCCAGAACUCCGCCGGCACUCCCUUCGCCUUCGCAGGCAGCGUGCCAUGCCGACGACGUUUGAUUGCGCCGCUCGACGACGCCGUUUUGCUGGGGAGAGUACGGCGCUGUCAAGUGCCGCUUCACUCCCAGCUCCUCGCAAUAUGCAGUGAAGUUGUUCGACGUAAAUUCACCGCCGCGAUCGGUGCGCAGCGCUCGGAGUGGAUGCUGCGACUCGUUCUCGGCAGCCACCUUGAAUCGCUUGAUGGCCACGACUGCCUCGUCCUUGCUCGUCAACAAGGUCAGCCACAUAUACCUGCUAUAAUCAUCCACAAGAAGCAGGAAGUACCGCUUGCCUCCUGGCGUUGCCGGUGUCACCGGGCCGCAGAGAUCGCCAUGCACCAGUUCAAGCUGAUCUGCAGCCCGGUACUUUGCCUGGUGGGGAAAGGGAGCUCGGCGUUGCUUCCCCACCAAGCAGCUGUCGCAGAGCUGGCCCACGCGCUCGAUCGUCGGCAUGCCGCGAACCAUGCCGUCCCUGGAGAGCCUCCGCAGUGCAUCGAAGUGCAGGUGGCCGUACCUGGCGUGCCAACGCCAGGCGUCAUCGUUCCCUUGUACAGAGAGGCAGAUGGGCUGCGCCACCUCGAGAUGUAGCACGUACAGACGCCCCCGGUUUCGCCUCACACGAGCGAGCAGCUUCCGUUGUGGAUCCCACAGCCGGAGAACGCCGUGGUGGAUGUUCGUCUCACACCCAAUUUCGUCCAUCUGCCCUAGACUGAUGAUAUUGCUCUCCAGACGUGGGAUGAAGUAGACAUCAGUGAGCACUCGGUGCUCACCGUUCCGGCAAGUGAAGACAAUCUUGCCGCGGCCCUCGAUGUUGACCAGCGAGCCGUCCCUGAGCUUUACGCGUCCACUCAUGCCGGCAUGCAGCUCGGAGAAGAGUUCACGGCGCCCGGACAUGUGGUUCGACGCGCCACUGUCCAGGAACCAUGACAUGUUGCAGCGCCCAUCGCCGGGAGCCGCGCGGGCUUUAGAGUGCUCCUCAUUCAGCAUGACGUGCUCCUCGGCGUCGUCCGUGAUCACCUUCAGCGCGCACGUGCGCGCCAUGAGGAGCGCCGGCUCCUCGUCGUCGGCUUGGGCGAGAUUGGCAUGCCCCUUUCAUUCCUUCCUAGGCUCACGACAAUGCUUCGAGAAAUGGCCCAUCUUAUUGCAAUUGAAACAUUUCACCUUGGACAUGUCGAUGUUUCCGUUGGCGUCGCGGGCAUGCCCAAUGCCCUGUUGCUUCGGAGCCUUGCCGCGCUCGUUGCCGUUCGCGUUCUGGGCAUGGUUCGUGCCGCCCACGUUCUGGCCUUGGCCACCGCUGCCUUGGCCCGUCUGGCGCUGGCUGCGGCGUGUCUCCCACUCCUCUUCGGUGAGGAGUAGCUGGCCUCCGGCAGCACUGGACGAGCUGCUGCCGAGGGUGUAUCGGGACUCCGCCGCGCGAAGCCGCCCGAUGAGUUCCUCCAAAGACACCUGCUUGAGGUCGAGCAGCGUCUCAAUCGACAUCACGAUUUGCAUGUAUUUCUCCGGCACACGCGCGAGGAACUUCUUCACCACCGUGUGACCGGCGCCACCGGAUCGCCGAGCGUCUCCAUGUGGUUGAUAUGGCUGUUGACCCGCAUGCUGAACGAGUCGAGGGAUUCGCCGAGUUUGAAGGCGAAGCGCUCCCACUGCGUGCGAAGGCGUUCCACCGCCGCCUUGCGCACGCGCUCCACGCCGAGGCGCAUGAGCUUGAUGGCCUCCCAGCCCUCCCUGGCCGUCUCCUUGGAGGCAAUGAUGCCUUUCAUCUCCGGUGGCACGGCUUUGAUCAGCGCCGCCAGAGCAUUCAUCUCGUCGACCUCGCUGAUCUCGUCGUCCUCCUCAGCGAUCAUGGCCGUCCACAACCGCUGGGCACGCAGGUUGACCUUCAUGACCUGUGCCCACUCGACGUAGUUCGUCGCCGUUAGCUCGGGGCAGGUGAUCGUGCUUCCCCCGCCGCCGGCGACCACCCUCUCCUGGACGAUUAUCUGGCGGUUGUCGUUCCGCCUCGCGCCAGGACUCUGACCUCGCGGCCGUCGUGAAGCCGACCGCGAACCACCGACAGACCGCUCGCGUGAGCGAUCCUGACUGCCGGCCAUGGCGCCUAGAGCCUUUCGUGGCUCUGAUACCAACUGUAACUCGAGCUACCUAGAACUAUCGUAUUCAGAGGGAGCUCACGCGAGGAAGACAAGAGUUUUUGCGCUGCUCAGCCAGAAACCGGCAACAAGAAACGUCAUCCGACAGCCAUCAAAUUAAUAACCCCAUCUUGCCCUUCCUUCCUUUCCUCCCUGCUGCUUUUGCACGCCAUAGCCUGAAUUCCACCCGCAGCAUCGCCAAGUCCCUGCCUGCGCCCCACUGCCCACCAAAUCGCCAUUGAUGUUGACGGCAGAAUCCUGCGAAUAAAAACGCUGCAGACCAAACCCUUGCGCCAGAACAACCACACCAUUCCAAUUUUCCCCAACGCAACUCUCCCCUCUCCACUUUCCAACCGAAGACCCCCAUGGUGCAGCACCGAAGAGGAUGACAAGGGAGAGCAGCACCAGCGAUCAUGUCAGGAGGGCCAUGCCAAGAAGGGAUCGAGGCCAAGCGCCAUGCAGUAGGAAGAAAGGACUGUCGUCUGAUCGACUACAACCGCCAGCAAAUCCUCCUGUCUUUAUUCUACUGCUAUUCAUCGAAUUGGUGAGAAUCUGAUCAAACCAUCAUCCUUUUGAAUGCCUCUACAUCCAGCACAUAUGCAGAUUCAAGUGGAUUUCUGAACCAAUUUGUUUAGCAUCCCCAAAUUCUCUUUCUUCCACUUCUGAAUAUUGUUCCACCGAUCAAAUCUUUCUCCCAUCCUUUAGUAACCAUCUUUAGUCAGCAUUACCACUGGUUACAGGUCCUAGACCAAUCGGAUAGGGGUUGGGAACAAUAAAACUCAAAUAAGCCUAUCCUGCUUGUUAGCACCAAAAUGGUUGAUUUCAUAUCUUUGCUAGAUCAAUUUUUGUUUGUCUGAAACUUUCUGCAUAUAUAGAUGUCUAUCAUGUUCUAGUAUUAAUUUACUUUGCAUACAAAUAGUUUCACAUGUUCUGGACUUGUAGAUUUGAGGAUCUUGAGAUUGCAAGGUUGUUAUUUCAUGUGCAAUAGUUAUUUUGAUCAUGCUUGUUCUUUCUGUGUAAAAAUCUGCAUAAAUGUCUAUAAGAUCAUGUUUGUAGUUAGUUUUACCUGCACACAUUUUAGUUGGACUGUCACUUCUGAAUCUCCAUUUGUGGGCAUGUUUUAUCUAUUAUUUAAAAGCAUUGUUUGCAUUCUAGUUCAUCGGUUUGGUACAGAAAAUCAUGUGAAUGAAGUUUGCUGCACAAAAAUGCAUGGCAUGACAUCUUAGAUACUUCUAUGAGUAUUAUGAACAUAUUUUAGAACUCAGCCAUAUUUAUGUUAUUGAUCGUUGAGUGUAUCUAUUUUAAUUUGUGCAGAUUAAUAAAUGAUCAUUCUUGCAUAUGUUUUGCGUAGCUUAUUUGUACGGGUUAGAUUUAUGUCUUGGCUUGCUUGUAGUAUUUUUAGCCUGUAACAAAUUGUAUAUAUAUUGUUACAUAAUUAUUUCUAAAGUUUGUAGAAUUUUCUCACAUGCCUAGUUAGCUUUCAGAUUUAUAAAUUAGCAUCCUUGCUUGUGUUUUUGUUUAUGCAGCACAGCCAUGAUAGUUGUUUUGGUUAUAUCAGAUUUAAUAUAGCUUUUGUAUGCUUACUAGUAUUGUUGGUAAUUAUUUGAGUAUUUAUGGAUUGCUAGUUUGUUUUUAACAUUAUUAUUUCCAUAGAUAUACCAUGUUUAGUGUAUAUAAAUGCUUGUUAAUGUAUAUACUAUUUGUCUAAUACAUUGCAGCGUCCAAUAUUAUACUUGGGUUGUUUUGAUGCUUUCCAUGCUGUUCAUAUAUAUGUCAUGGUAUGAUGUUUGUUAUCCAUGGCCCAAGGUAGAAGAAGACACACAAACACAAUGAACUCACAGAGGCUUUGGCACCCGCACACCUCGUGUCUUUUUUUCUCUUGUUCACUUGUAAACUUAGCUGAUUACAAGUCUUAAGUAGAGAGAAAAACAUAGGCACACACUGCUGCUUUGAUCCGCUAAUUGCUCUCCACUAGCCGGUAGCUAGAAAGCCACGAAUAAUCACGUUGGAUACGGCCACACGAUUCAGCCGGAGUCCUCCUCAACUUGUUGAUUACUCGGUCCACACCUGAAGCCUCUAAUGGCCAUGUAACUCGGUCAGCAACAGCACACCUACCUGCAUGCUACUUAUCCUAUCGAUGCCAACACAUGCAUCCAUUCUCCACUGGACUAGCUAAUUCAACUAACUAAAGUACUAAACUCACUUAGCUUGCAUGCACACACGUGAACACAUCUCUCCGUGUGCGCUGCCACAGCUUGCUACCUGAACGACACAAAUAAAUGAACAUGAUGAAAAAACUCUAAACAACAAGGUUAACUCCAACAAUGUUUGCAUUUAUCCACUACCUAUAUUGCAUAUAGAGUAGGUUUGUACAAUUGCAAUGCAUUUGCUAUAGUUUAUUCUUGUAGCUAUUCCGAUAUUGCAUGAAUGCUUUGUACAAUUUUAGUACAAUAUAUUCCAAAGCCAUGAGCUUGAUUGUAUUUAUAGAUACAAAUAAUAUGCAUGUGCUUUCUUAUUGCUUGGCAUACUUUGUUAUGGUUUGACUUAUACAUCAUAUAUGCUCAUCCAUGGAUAGCCUCUUGCUUGCUAGCUAGUGAUACAUGUUAGUUGUUGCCUGUCCCUGUAUAUGCUAAUAUAAGGAUGCAUGUCAUUUAUUUGUUUAGCUUUGCCAUGUUUGUUAGUGCAUAUGUCCAUAUUAUCACAUGAUAGCCUAUUGUCACUGAAGGAGCAUAUGUAUUCUAGAGUGCUUUAUCCCUAUUAAUUAUUCUCACAUGAUAGCAUUGUUUGUUCUGACCUCCAUCAUGUAUAUGUUGGCUUGCAAAUGCCUAUAUUGUUUAGUUGCCUAUAGCUAAGAUGCAUCUCUUUGGUAUUAUCAUGCUCAUGCCACUAGCAUAGAUCCUAUGCUUGCUUGACUAGUAUAGAAUCAUGUGUGGCAUGUUUUACUCAUAAUUUAUCUGUUGUGAUUGUUCAUGCUUAAUUUGUAUUCAACCUUGACUUGAAUUAGAACUACUUCUGUUUUUUAUUUUAUUUAUUUUUAUCAUGUGUAGAGAGAAUUGUUAGCUUUGUAAGUCUCUCACUCAUCCUUGCUGUUGUAUGCCAGUUUGUAUAUUAUGCGAAUUGCUUGUUUAACUAGGAUGAUAGGAGUUUGAUUGCUGCUUGCAUGCUAGCAUAAUAAUGUGUGUUGCUUUGUCAUGGAGUGCAUUUACAAAUAUGCUUGAGAGUUAUCUUUGGUUAGUGGCAGCAUAGCUUUAUAGUUUAGUAUUUAUUAUUAUUAUACUAAAGGGUAUGACCAAUCAUAUAUAUCCUUCCUCUCGGAUAUAUAAUUAUACUUGUUAGAAUCUGUCCCACCAUCCAAUCCUAUCAAAGUUAUUCAUAUCGUUUCCAAACCUAUUGUCAGCCUCAUUGUUUAUUCGCUCUCUUAUUUCUAUUUCAUUUGACUUUAUUGCUUUUGCAUUUAUUUUGUUUGUUCUUGUUAUCGUUACGACAAAUAGAGAGUGACGAGGUGGAUCUGAGUGCGUCCAAUGACAAGUUUUGGGAUCGAUCUCUCAGUUCUGAGUGUGAUGCGAUCGCAACAAGGUAAGUAAAAGGGGAAGGCUCUGAAUAGAGGAGCAUAAUUAGUUUUAUUACGUACCGAUGGUACAAGAAGGUACUUAAAAAUGCAGAAAAAGGAAAACGAAUAGGUGAGAAACUAAAAAAUAAAAUCGAGUAAAAAAAGCCUGGCGCGUUGGCGGCACAAUUGCGUGGCAUUCCGCGCCUUGCUUCUUGAGUCCCCGGCUCUGGAUUGGAGUCUGAGGGGGAGGUUUUUGAUUCUCCUAUCCCGUAGUCGAGUUGGCUGAACAGCCAUGUCAAGUGCAACUGGGUGCACUGCUCCGGCGAAACUGGCUGGGCGCGGAGGCGGAGGAGGAGCACCGAUGGCUAGAGCUCCUGGUAUGGGAGGCAGCAAGGGUGCAUUGACUCCUUCGUUAGGGUAUGGAAGCAUCCCAGGUAGCUGUGAGAAGCCCGCACUUGUUGCCCACUGCUGUGUCCUGGCAAACUCAGCCUGCAGUUCCUUGGAGCGCCGGCACUCGGCUAGAGGGUGGCUUGGCUUGAUGUUGCCUUGCUCAUCCCUGUAGACGUGAAACGGGCAAGGGGAAGCUAGCUGCUGAGCAAGGGUUGGUUGAUUUCUUUUUCUCUGCCAUUUGUUGCCCACGCUUGUCACCACCUCGAAAACCUCCACCGUGAUUUCCGGUCUCCUAAGAGCCAAAAUCUGUCGGAGAGGCUGCCGCGAUGAAUUCAGGAGGGUGUGAUUCUUCGAAGGCUCGGUUUUUGUGCUCCUUCGUCGAUCGUGGCCACGAUCACCCUCUUCCUCUGGAGAUCGGUGGCGUUCAUUGCGAACCGAGUCUUCACCGUCAGCCCAUCGAUUUGUGGGCUGCACACAACCCAAUUCUUCCUUGAGUUCGACUCGUCGGAGUCCUCGUUUGAAGGCGUACAUGGCGCUUUCGUCGGAGACUUCCUCAGCAGCGUGUUUGGUGUUGGUCCAGCGCUGGAUGUACGAACGGAUGGAUUCUCCCUCCUUUUGAAUACAAGCUCAGAGUUGCUCGAUGUCGCACCAGUGGCACCCAGGGUACCACCGCUGCACGACGCGUGGGCCCCGUUCCCGGGUUCCCGGGAAGGUCUCAUCCCGAGGAGCGUCUAUGAGCUCCCCGGCAAGCUACCAGCCCGAAAGGGGCUCGCGGGGCUUCGGGGAAUAUUCCCGCCUGGGCACCUCCGGGAAACUGCUUCCCGAGAGGGGGUUCCCAGGUGCGUUGGGCCCGGGUGCUUCCCGGGGUCGACUUGCUGGGUUCCCGGGCGCGUGCCCCCGCCUCGGGCGUGGGGCCCAGUGGACAGCGCCACGCGGGCGCAAUGCGGGCGCGGGACGCGCGGUCCCACCAAGGCAAUGAGUAAGGCGCACGGCUCAGUAAACGAGCCGACCGACGGGUAGUUACCCGUCCGAUCCAAGGAACAGUGGUUGUCUAAUCCUA
rnacentral:lncRNA from 1 species